rnacentral:lncRNA from 1 species
AAAAAAAAUCACUAUUAGCAUUUUUUAGACUAAUUAUAAAAAGCCUAAUAACAAAAAAGAAGUUUCAUUUAAAUUAAAAUUAUAAAAAAUUUACUAAUGGGAUUUUAUUCAAUCGCUUUUAAAACUUUUGGAAGUAAAAUUUUAAAAUUUUAACUUAAUUAAUUUCACAUAUACUCUAUUUUUAAUUUUAAUUGAUUUAAAUUAAACUUAAGUAAAUUAAUAAAAAUUAUAUAUAUUUAAAGAUAAUUUUAUUAAUUUAAAAAUUAUAAUAAUAUUUAAGUCAAUCGCUUUUAACAUUUUUGAAGUUUACAUUUUUAAAUAUUAGGAAAUAAUUAUAUUUACUUAUAUUGAAAGAAACAACAAAUUCAAUGUCAAUAUUAUUAAUUAGUUUCGAUCCCAAUAGUUUAUAUUAGUUAAAAGCUUAUUACUGUAUGACUGAAAAAUCUUGUACGAUAAAUAUGUUAUAUAUAUGUAUAUCCUUUAAGAUUUAGAGAUACAAUUUAAUACAAAAAUGUAACUAACUUUUGAUUUUUUAAAAGUUUAAAUUAAAUAAAUUUAAUUAUAUAUAUAAAAAAAUUGUAAAGUAAGAACAAAUAAUGAAACAAAAAUCUGUUUAAAAGUAGAUUUUUCAUUAAAUCUCUAUUUUAAUUGUAGGAUACACUUUAUUUUUUUUAUAAAUUCCUACAAAUUUAAUAUGAAAUGAAAAUCAAUAAAUAAAUUAAUAAUAAGAAUAAUAAUAAUAAUAAUAAAGUACACAUGCAUAUUCAAUUAUUUCUAAACCAUAAUAACGAAUUAUAAUGGAAUUAAAAAAUAACAAUGCUAAGUUUUAUCACACAUUGAUGUUUAUAUUGUUUUAGUAUUUUGUUUACUUAUAAAAAUUAAACUGAAAGCAUAACUAAAAUUUUACGUUUUGAUUUCAAGUAUUUUUACCAAAUUAAAAUUUGUACUGGUUUUACCUGCAUAUUAAUUAUUUAUAGCAAUGAGGAAGAAAAUAACAAAAAUGUGAAAGAAAUAUUUUAAAUGACGACUAAUUAAUUAAGCAUGCCAGAAAUGAGAAAUCAAUUAUGGUUGAUUAAUAUUUUGAUUUUAUAUGAAAAGCGUUAUUAAUAAUAAAAAUCAUUUAAAUUAAAAUUUACUAAAAGUUUAAUAAAUGAAAAUUUAAAAAUAAAAAAGUUAAAAAUAAAAAAUAUUUAAAUUAAAAUUAUUAAAAAUUUUAUGCAAAAUAUUUUAAUCAUUCACUUUUAAUAUUUUAAAAAUUAAAAUUAUAUUAAAAAUAUUUUAAUCUGUCAUUAUUAAUAUUUUUUUGAGUUCACACUUAAAUAGAUGAUAGAUGAUAAUACCCCAAUAUUCUCCAACUUCAUCCCAUUAGUUUGCCACACAAACGAGAGAAAUCAGCAUCUACAUCCCCAUCUUUCUGGUUGGUCAAGCAUUUGAACGAUUCCCAUGGCCUCCAAAAAUGCAUCAUCAAACUCCAAGUCACAAACCCGUGCAUGCCUGUGUUCCCCUACCUCACACACAGGAUCCUUCAGGUGCAACCUGCACAGGAAUUUCAACAAGCCACCCGAUCAGACAAGGGUGAUUCGUGUCUCACCAGAUCACUGGGAAUUAGCCGUGAAUGCCAAGGCAAAUUCCAUCAAAGCAAUUCUGCUUCAAAUCAUUAAGCCAUCGCGCCAUGACUUGCAAAGAAGAAGGAAUUUCCAGCCUAAGCCUUCCAGGUUUUGUUUAUUGAAUGGCAACAGAAACGGGUUUGGGGUUGCAGUUUCCUGAUCACAUGUUGGUGGUUUAGUGGCAAGAAUUUUCCCUUGGUAUCUUUUUCCUUUAUAGAAACGUUAAUAGUGAAGUUACAUGUAUAUAUACGAGGGAUUUACCAUGUUCAUGAUACAUAUAUUUUUGGAUAAAUAUGUUCAUGAUAUUUUAGCAUUCAGACAAAGUUUUAGAAAUUACUGGCAGAGUGACAUAAGAAUGUACGAGUUUGAUUCAUUAAUUUUUUUUCGUGUUUUAUAUAUUUGGUUUCCCUGACUUGAUAUUUGAGUAUGAUUCAUUCUUUUUAUUGUUCUUUAUAUCUUCUUUGUUUUCUAUUUUUUUUCAAGGAUGUGUUGGAAAUUAAGGUUAAAAACUUAAAAAGUUUGCAUGAUCUGGAAACAAAGAAUAAUCUUUUCUAUUAAAAAAAAUCUUUUUGUUUUUUACGGAGAACAUAGGGAUAUCAGCUAAGAUUAUGAAAUUUCAAGCUGAUUAGAUAAAUGCAAUUGGGAUAUCUUGUGUAACUUACUAAUAAAGAUAAGCCGCUAUGGGUUUCAAUUUAAUGCAUAAAAAGACAGUAAGUACUUAUGGUUAGUGAAAACUGAAACCUUUUAUUUUUCUUUUUUUUUUUCAAAAAGAUAAUCUUUUAUUUUCUUUCAAUCCUGAAAUGUUGAAAAGUUGGAAAGAUGGAUCCCAUGUUCCAAACUCAUAACAAAGUAAAAUUAAACCCAUCUUGUUGAAGAUAAAGUAUAUAUGAUACUCUAUGUAACAUCUUAAUAGCAAAAUGAUCUUUUUUCAGCUCUGAAUAAGUGGCAUUUUAUACAUAUAUACACAUAUAUAUUUGCCUUUUAUCAUGAGUUUGCUCGAGCAAGAGAGAAAAAAAUGCCUUUUUUUUAUUACAAAAGAAAUGAAAACGUUUUUUUUUUCUUUUAAAAAAAAAAAAGAAAUGCAUUUUUUCCCAUCAUGUUUGAUAAUAAUAAUAAAAACAAUUGUAAUCGAUUGAUAAUAAUAACAAAAACAAUUGUAAUCGAUGCUUGGUAAUUAAUCAAAACCAUAGUUAUAGGAUGGUAAGUACUGCAUAGGGCAUCAAUGGGCCGGUAUGGAACACUACUCAACCCAAUUAAGUAAGAUAAGGAUAUAUACUUAAAUUCCAUUACAAGUAAUGAGUUUUUUAAUACUUAUAUUACUUUUAGUUUAAAUAUUAUUUUAUAAUUAAAAAUAAAUUAUUAAAAUUUAUAAAUUAUUUUAAAAUAAAAUUUAUUUUUGAAUUUAUUGAUUUAAUUUUGCUUAAUGAAAUAAAUAAAAGUAAUUGAAUUUAUAUUUUUAUUAUUGAAUUUGAGUUUGGUUAGCUUUUUUAAUGGGAACCCAUACCAUUUUUAGCUAAAUAAGUGAAUUCGGCUCUUAAUGGGAUAUUACUAAUCAAGUUCAGAUAGGGUAUGAAUAAUGUAUUUAAUAAUUAGGUUCAUGUAUUUUAUGCGUUUUUAAUCUUACUUGUUAAUAUGUGUUUUAAAGAUGUUUUUUAAAGUUAUUAUAUUAAAUAAUUUACUAUUAAAUAUAUUAAAAUUUAUAAUAUUUUGAUUCCAAAUUAGAUGUCAAAUAUUUUAUUGUAAUUUCAAAACAUAAGGCAGUCCAAUAUGUCAAUGUGGCACAAAAACAGUGGCAUAACAAUUUUGGGUAUCUCCAAGCCAACCAGGUAAGAAAUUUCCCUUAAAUUAAAGGGGUCGAAAACAAAGCUUGACUUUUCACCAAGAAAAACAUCAAAAUGAUUGACACCACACCAUGUGGAAAAGGAAUAAAAACAAACCAAAGCAAGUGGAGGCCAUUGAGCCCUUUGCGUAGAAGCACAAUUAUCUUAAUUGCCAUAUACAAACAAAACUAAAGUCAAUGCACAUGCUGGAUUGAUUUGACGGUUAUUGCCAAGGAAAAUUAUCUUCUAUUGUUAUUAUUGUCUUUACAUUUUUGUCUUGUUUUCCAAGUUUUCCAUUUCUCAGUUUUGUCAAUACACAUUUUCAUCAAAAUGUUUUGUUGGUCAAUAUUCCAAUCAUGAAAAUGGAAGGCUUGAGAGGAAGCCAAAAACUACAAGGGGUGGAUGGCAUGACCGAAAAAGGACAAUAAUAGAUAUCUUCAAUAAUUACACUGUUGUGUAAAAGAUAAAAGGAUGAAAAUGGCGGUAGUGGCUAAUGAAAGUUUGUUUGAUGCGAGAGUUUAGAUUAUUAGAAAAUAGGGAGAUUAAAAAAUAAAAGCGAAUGAAGAGGAAAAAAUAAAUUAGAGAAUUUAGGAAAAUUUUUUUUUUCAUUUAUGAAAGUCAAUUAUAGUCGAUGAAUUAUUUAAAUACAAUUAUCAUGCAAUUGUUCUAUAAAAGUGUAAAAAAUAUAAAAUUUUAAAGUAUUUUUAACCAAUAGAUUAAUAAUUGACAUAAUUAUUAAUAUUCUUAAUCAAUAGAUUAAUAAUUGACAUCACUAUUUUUCUUCUCGUAUUUCUUUUUUUAAUUGUCAGUUUUUAGCUUAUCUCUCAACGAUUACUACUCAUUAUUUGCCAUAGUCUCUACCAUAGUCUUGCUCAUGCAACUUUUGCUAUUUUUCAUCAAACUCAUCACAAUACCCUCAUCUUCAUCGGAUUCUUAUCCCAAAGAUCAAAAUCUAAAAACUUUGAUUUCAAUAUUUUAUAAUCUUCCUAGGUUACAUUAUCAAGCCCUAAAUUGGACCAUACUAGGAGUUGAGUAACAUCCCUAUGCCUUUUAACCAUUUGUUUAUCAAUCACAGCAACAGGAUAUAUAAGUGGUUGCUCAUUCUCAUUAGUUUUUGGUGGAGCUAGACUGGGAACUAUCUUGUUUCUUAACUUUUUUUUUAAUAAACUGACAUGAAACACUGGAUGGAUUUUAGAAGUAGGUGGUAACUAUAAUUUAUAAGCAACUGAAUCAACCUUGGCUAAUAUAGUAUUCGGAUCAUAAUAUCUGGAUGAAAGUUUUAAACUCUUUUGAAAGGCCAAAAAGGUUUGUUUAUAGGGUUGGAGUUUUAAAUACACUUCAUUUCCCACUUGAAACUCUUUUUCAAUUUUAUUCCUAUUAGCAUAUCGUUUCAUUUUCUAUUGAGCUUUAUUUAACUGAAUGAACAAUCAACCUACUGACUUGUUCUCUAUCUUUCAGUAAUUUUUUCACAUUCGCCACUUUUGGUUGACUACUUGCAUCCUAUUCUUAGGCUAGUGGUUUAUAACCAUACAAAGCCUAAAAUGGAGACAUUCCCAGAUAAAUGUGAUAGCUUGUUUUAUACCAGGUUAAUGGUAGCCAUUGAACCCCACUUUUAGACUUAAGAAAACACAUACACCAUAAAUAUUGUUUCAAACACUUAUUAACCUUCUCGAUUUGCCUAUCAGAUUCUGGAUGGUAAGCUAUACUCAAAUUAACUCUGAUUUUUAAUAAUUUCAUCAACUCCUGUCAAAACAUACUAGUAAAGACUAGAUCUUGUCAGAAAUAGCAAUUCUAGGUGUCCCAUGAGUUUUUGAACUUGACUGACAUAUAUUUUAGCUACUUCCAUAAUUGUAAAAAGAUAGAACAAAAGAAAAAAGUGAUUGUACUUAGUGAAUUUAUCCAUUAUCACCAUAAUACAACUAAAAUUUUCAUAUAAGGGCAACCUUUCAACAAAAUUCAUGUUGAUUACAUCUCAGGUUUGUUGUGAUAUAGAAAUUGGCCGUAAAAGACAAACACGCUCAUCUUUGUUCCUUUGAUAGGUAUCACAUUGUUGGAUAUACUCAUGGGAUUUUUUUUCUUUAUCCCAAACCAAUAAAAAUUUAAUUUAAGUCUGUGGUAAGUGGUUUGAAUUCCUAAAUGCCCCUUGAAGUGAAUCAUGUAAGGCUUGCAAAAUUUUCUCCCUUAACAACCCAUUAUUACCUAUAAAAAUUUUCCUUUUAAAUCUAAAAAUUCUAUUGCUGAAUGAAUAGUGAUAAUUAUAAAAAGGAUAGAUAAUAAAAGCUUUAAUUUGCUCUUGUGCCACUAUAUCACCAUUGUUGCUAACAUCAGUGUCUAAUAUAAAAAGAUUUAUUGAAUCAGGCAAUGACAGGAUAGGAGUAGAACAUAUGGCCUCCUUAAGUCGAUUGAAAGCUUAUUCUACUACGGGUGUCCACUUGAACUUAUUAUUUUUAAGCAUAUUUGUGAGUGACUUAUUGUUCUCCCUUUAGCUUGUUAUAAACUUCUUAUAAUAUCCAGUUAACCCAAGAAAUCCGCUCAAAGACUUGAGGCUCUUAGGCUAUGGCUAAUUUGCAUUGUUUCUACCUCCAGUUGAUAUAAUAUGCCCUAAAUAUUCAAUUUGCCUUUGACCAAAGAAACACUUGCUUUUUUUUGCACAUAGUCUGUUCUUUCUUAGUGUUUUAAAUACAAUGUUUAAAUGUUCUACAUAUUCUCUUAAGUUAGAACUAUAAACAAGAAUAUCAUCAAAAAAAUGCCAGCAUAAAUUUUUUCAAAAGCAAAUAUAUCAUUCAUGAGAAACUGAAAAAUUGCAGGUGCAUUAGUAAAUCCAAAUAGCAUUACCUUAAAUUUGUAAUAGCCAUGAUGAAUUCUGAAAGUUGUCUUCUAAAUGUCAUCUUCUUUCACUCUUAUCUGCCAGUAUACUUAUCUGAGGUCUAUUUUUGAGAAAUAGUAGGCUAUUUUCAACUCAUCUAAGAGAUCUUUCAUUAUAGGUAUAGGGAAUUUAUUUUUCACUAUGACUUCAUUCAAUUGUUUGAUACACAUCUUUUAGGUGCCAUGCUUUUUAUUAACUUACAAACAUGGAGAAGCAAAAGGCUCUUGCUGGUUUGUAUGACAGAGGAAGAUAACAUUUUUGCUAUUUGCCUUUCAAUCUUAUUCUUUUGAUUUUUCACAACUUUGACAUGGAAAUUUGUGUUGCCUUCAUAUCCUCCAACUAUGUCAAAAUGUUCUGGACUUGUUCAUGUAUUCAAUCCAUGGUUUCCUACUUUUCCUAGAUCUUGGAUCGCAACGAGCUUGGAUAUUAAUUUGUGACUACUCAAUUGUGACUUGGUUAGGAUUUUAGAGAAUAAAGAGACUAACGAAAGAAUAGAAAAGAAUUGAAAGGAGAAAAUAGAAUAGAGAAUAAUUGAAAAGAGAAAAUAUUUUUUCCAUGAAAGUAAGUUACAGCCAAUGAAUUAUUUAAAUAAACUAUCAUGCAAUUGUCCUACAAAAGUGCAAAAAAUAUAAAAUUUUAAAAUAUUUUUAGCCAAUAAAUUAAUAACUGACAUCACCAUUAAUAUUCCUAAACAAUAUAUUAAUAAUUGACAUCACCGUCUUUCUUCUCAUAUUCCUCAUUCUAUUGUCAGCUUUCAACUUAUUUCUCAAUAAUUCCUUCUCAUUCUUUACCAUAAUCUCUGCCAUAACAUUACUCAUGCAGCUCUUGCUCUUUUCCAUCAAACUCGUCGUAGAGCUCAUUAAACAGUACUUGUUAUGAAAAUGGAAUAUAAGUGAAACUUGCACUCCAUUUUUUUAUAAUAUGAAGAGAUGGUGGUGGCGAUCAAAAAGGAAGACAGUGGGAUUAGUCGGAGAAGCCGGAACCAGAGGGAGAGACAUGACUCGGGAAAUUAAAACCAAUAAUGUUUUUAGACUUUUUCAAACAUAAAUGAUAAACCCGUAAUUAAAAAAAAAUUAUCAUCAAUAUUCAUAUUCUUACACAAAAUUAAGCACUUCUCGAUUUUUUAAUACAUAAAAAAAUAAUAAAAAUAUGUAAUACUUAAUUGGCAUGAUGAUGGAUAGUGGGAAUGGCCUUGUAUAAUAAUAGGGUUAAUUUGGAAGAUAUUAAAUUUAGUACAUGCAUGCUUCAACAUAUAGUAAUUUACAUACAAGCUUCAAUAUCUUGUUCCUCUUCCAUUUCACUUCAACAUUUUGAAUCUCUUUUCCUUUUAUUGGAGACGAUCAGCAUUUUUAAUCUUAAUUUUAGAACCCCUUAGAAUAAGUAAAAUAUGCAAGUAAAAGAAUGAUUUUUCUAAUACAUUUAUCGAAGUAAAUUGUUGAAGUGGAAGUCAAUUUAUUCUGAUAUCGACCCUUAUAAAUUAAUAAAUAUCAAGUCACCUACUCAACAUCGCACUAUUUUUUAAAAAACUUUUGUAGAAUAAUUUAAUUAAUUAAUUAAUUAAUUAAGUUACAUAUCUCUAUAAGCAUAUUUUAAAAAUAGAUAAUUUUAAGUAUUAACUAUAAACAAAAUUAUCUAUGCAGCCUCGAAUUGUUUGAUUGUCUCCGUAUUUCAUCACAUGAUCAUUAUGCAUUAUUCAUUCAUGAAAAUCAGAAGUGGAAACCGAUUCACUUUGUAAAAAAAAAAAGAAAAAGAAAUUGAACGGGGAGGAAAAUGAAGGAGAGGGAGAAAGAGGGAGAUUGAAAUGGUUGACCCAAGAAUAUCUUGGCUUUUGGUGUGCGUUGAAAGAUGUUAACUGCUGCUUGCUUUCCUGUAUAUAUUAAUAUAUAUUAUAUGUGAGGGGAGAAUCCAGUCGAUGUCGCUAUGGUUAAUUAUCCUAGACGUCUAGAAUAAAGUGAGCUUUGAGGCAGAAGUGGGACCAUUUUUGGGCUGUUACUUUGAGGAAUGCUAGCGGUAGUGACAUUUUCAGGCGCGUUUCAGCAUUCGUGAUUUUUAAAAGGCCACGUCACUCAGUUUUUACCUUAAAAACUGGUUACUUAUUAUUACCAGUUGUUAGACUUCGUAAAUAAUAAAUAAAUCAAAUUAUGAAAAAUAGAUAAAACCUGUGUGGCUUCUAUUUUAAAACUACAAAUAAGAAAAAAAAAAACAAGAAAAGGAAAGCUCAUAGUUUAGAAGUCUGACUCCUCCCCUCCCACAUUUCAAUUGAGAUUAGCAGGAAAUUUUUUUUUCUACUUAAAUCUUCCUUGCUAAUUAGUAAGGGUGAAUCCAAAUAAUGUAAAGGGUGAAUCCAAAUAAUGUAAUGGGACGUUCAUAAAAUUUUUAAAAAUUGAAAGAUAAAAAAUAAAAUUUUUUCUCCAAAUAUUUAAAAAAUUUUUUGGACACUCUUGAACAUAAAAAAAAAAAUUUCUUUUGAUGCUCUCAAAAUUGUCUUCUAAAUAUUUUUUUUAUUGAUAAAAUUGAUAAAUCUUUUAAUAAUAUUAUAUACAUUAUAAAUGAACACUUUAAAAAAUUAGAUCUGUCAUUGCUAAAUAAGAUAUGCGAGGUUAUGAUUUUUUUUAUUUUUUAUUUUUAUUUGAUCUAUAUAAUUUUUUAUUUAAACAUGAUUAUCUCUUUCCUUAUAUAUAUAACAUGGCUGUAUAUAUAUAAAAAUUAAAUAUAUUAAAAAGUAAAAUUAUUUUAUUUAUGGCUUUUUUCAUUCCAUCAGAAAAAAAAUAAAGAUGGUAUUUUUGUAAAAAUCAGAAAAUUAUUUAUAAAUAUUUGUGUGCUUGCUUUUAUGUACUUUGAUUAUAUUUUGAUUAGAUAAUUUACUAAUUUAUGCCUUUGAAGUUUAAAUUUGGAUGUAAUCCAAUUUUUUUUUUUUCAAAUUUUAGCUUAGACUGGUUAAUUAUGCUCAAUUUUUUUAGGAUAAAAAAAUUAAAAGCAUUAUCAGGAAAAAUAAGAAAUGUUAUGUUUGGUAAAAAUCAAUAAAACAUAGGGGUAUUUUAGCUUUUAUCAAAUAUUCGAGAACAUGUGAACAUAUGCUGUGCACAAGUCAGUCUUAGUGAUCGGUACAAAAGUUUGCGGUUGAACAAGCAACCGGUUCAAAUGAAAAAACAAGAUGAUGUGAUUUUAUACAUUGACAAGAUAUGAUUUUAUACAAUGACAAGUGCUGACGUGCGACUGUACAUGUUACAACCGCUAGCAUUCCUCCCAUUUAAUAAUCCAGUUAUGCCCUUUUGUUUGCAUUUCAUAUCUCACUUUCUGAGCAAUGUUUUUAUUAAAAUCCAUUUUUUUAUUUUAUUAUCUUCUAUUUUUGCCUCCAAUGGCAAACCCUGUUUGAAAGUUCACAUCUUCAGUUUCCUGGCUCUCUUGCCUAAAGGCAAGCUACUCGGAUUUCACUCCAAAUAAAAUGGGCUAGGCGCGGCGUUUUUCCUCCUAUCCCUAUCAAUAACCCAAGCCCCAACACCUUCCAGUCAGCCUUCCUUUCUGCUUAUGGCUUAGUCUCAGUCCUCCAAUCUCAGGAAACCCAGGCCAGUGGCUCUCCUUCCUCUCUAUCCCGAUCUUCAUCCCAAUUUCCAACACCAACCAGCCAACCGCCCUUGUCAAUUCUGGCUCAAUCUUUCAGUCCCCCCGAUCCCAGGAGACCCAGGCCCCAUCGGUGCCCCCCGAAGGAAGGUAAAUAACUUGGAAUUGGUGUUAUUUGAUUUCCUUGCUACUUCAUAAACAUGACAGUAACAUCUUGGAUUUUUUUUUGUUUCGCUGACAAAUCUAGGAUAUAUUGUUAAAUGAGCAAAACUUAUUUGAUGAAUUUUUCUUAAUCAACAGCUCACAUCAAUGAAAGAUGAAGUUGAAACAAAUUAAAGCAGAAAGCUUUAAAUAUGUCGAUCAAAUUCAAAGAAAGAUGGAGUGGAAACAAAAGCAGAAAGCAUUAGUAAUAGCUAUUUCCUUCAUAGUUUCUAUAAGAAUUAUGAUAUCGUAAGUUGUGUUUUGAUCUAUACAGUAGUGUUGUAUUUUGUGAAUUUGGUUGGGAAUUUUUAAAAUUUUUGGAUUUGUUUAUUGUCUAAGGUUUUUUAAUUAUUAUUAUUUUGUUUAAUUUAAUUAAUACAAAUAUUUGUAAAAAUUUUCAAUUCGAGAGCACUAAUAAUCUGAGUUUAAAAAUCAGAAAAAAAAAUCAAGUUAUUUUAUAUUUAUUAAAAAAAUCUAAUCGAGCAAGCUCAAUUUUUAUCUCAAGUUAGGUAAAAGAAUAAAAUUUGAUAGAGCUCAAAUCGAGCUUCAAAGCCUUGAGUGUAAAGUCGAAUUCAAACCUGAGAUUUUAAAUGAAUUUACUCGGGUUAAUUCGAUUACGUCCUUAAUUUUGUUCAUUUAUAGAAGACUAAAGGAUUUCAAGAUCUGAACAUUUUUUUUAUUGAAAUCUAAAGAUGGGCUUUUAGAUUUGGCAAAUGGGGUUUUGUUUAUGAGAUUGUUUUAGUUUGUUAUGCUACAGCUUGAGUUUUCUAAGUUCACAAACUGAAGGGGAUGCGACUGUUGAAGGAACUGUUUUUAUUGAUGGGAAAGCUCCCAUUGGUACCAUAGAUGAUGAUUUUAUUUGUGCUACUUUGGACUGGUGGCCUCCUGAAAAAUGUGAUUAUGGGACAUGCAGCUGGGGUCACGCUGGACUGCUCAAUCUGGUAUGGGGUUUUUUUUUUUCCAGCUGCAUUUGUUCUUUUGAAUACUUUCCUUUCCUGUCAAGAAUUAUCCAGUAUGUUUUCUUUGAUGGUUGAUAUAGUUUUCCUUUGUUCAAUCUUUAUAUCUUGGGUUUAUGUGUACAAAUGAUGCACUCCACCAUACUCGCCUUGUUUCAAUGAAAUUGCUAUUCUCAUCUUCUUUUUCCCCAAAUUUUGUAUAGAAAAAUUAUUUAUCAUUUUUUCCUUUUGGACAACCAGGGAUUUCUGCUAAAUAAGAAUUUUCAUUUUCUAACUUUAAUUAUAAUAAUAUUUUUAAUGAUGAAUUUGGACUUUUUUUACUUGCUGGUCUUUUCAUACUUAUAAAAAGGUAUUUCUUUUCAAUCCGGAAAGCCAAUUUCCCAGUUUAAAAGUGCUUGCUGAGAUUGUGUCAUCCUUCUUUUCCUUUUGCAGGAUCUUAGUAAUAAUAUAUUCUUGAAUGCCGUGAAAGGUAAGGCAUUUUUUUCAUUUGGUGGAUAUUUUCAAUCACUAAAUAUUUUGUCUUAAUUAUUUUUUAGUCCCUAUAUUGUUCAGCUUUUUCACCAUUGAAGAUAAGAUUGGGCGGCACAUUGCAAGAUAAGGUCAUAUAUGAUACAAAUGACAAUCAGGAACCCUGUACUUCAUUUGUUAAAAACGCUUCUAAGAUGUUUGGUUUUACUCAAGGAUGUUUGCCCAUGAAUAGAUGGGAUGAGCUUAAUGCCUUCUUUGAAAAAGCAGGGUAAUAAUAGCAGCAUAUUUUUGGCCAUUGUAUUCCUUGAGCUUCAAAUUAUGAAUGUUUGGCCAUUAAUUUAACUCAUGUUUCACAAUUCAGGGCUAAGAUUAUUUUUGGAUUAAAUGCUCUUGUUGGACGAUCUAUGAAGUCUGAUGGUUCAGCUGUUGGAGCAUGGAACUACACCAAUGCUGAAUCUUUCAUGCGUUAUACCGUUGAAAAGAACUAUACCAUAUGUGGUUGGGAGCUAGGUAAGUAACAGAAUCUGUUUCUUGAAUCAUGAUGGAAGAUACUUCCAGUGGUAGGGGGAACAGCUUAUGUAUGUUUGUUAUCUCUUGCUUGUCAGGAAAUGAAUUGUGCGGGAGUGGGGUCGGAACUAGGGUCAAAGCAAAUCAGUAUGCUGCUGACACAGAAUCAUUACGAAUUAUAGUGCAAAAAAUAUACAGGGAUGUUGAUUUGAAGCCAUUAGUUAUAGCACCUGGUGGGUUCUAUGACUCAAAUUGGUUCAAAGAAUUCAUCAAUAAAACAACAAAAUCCUUAGAUGUGGUCACUCACCAUAUAUACAAUCUUGGACCAGGUGUAAUUCAUCUUGUACAAUCCAGUAUUCGAAUCUUAUAGGAGCUUAAGACUUGAAAGAAGUUUCUUACUUGACAAUCAUAUUCUUCUGCGUAGGAGUCGAUGAGCACCUUGUUGAAAAGAUUCUUAAUCCAUCCGUUCUUGAUGGUGAGUCCGGAACAUUCAGUGGCCUUCACAACAUCAUCAAGAAUUCUACAACUUCAGCAACUGCCUGGGUGGGUGAGGCAGGAGGAGCAUACAACAGUGGCCAUAAUCUUGUAACAAAUGCAUUUGUGUUCAGUUUCUGGUAAAUUGGCAAUAACUUGCUAUCAAGAAACUUAGUCCUUUUGCUGUGAUUGAUUUUAAGUGAUAUUACCUUGGACAUGAAAUGCAGGUAAGAUCAACUUGGCAUGGCAUCAAAGUAUGAUACCAAAACUUACUGCAGACAAUCACUGAUUGGUGGAAAUUAUGGUUUACUAAACACUACCACUUUUGUACCAAAUCCAGAUUACUACAGGUUAUUUCUUUGCGAAAUUCUUUCAUUAUGAAGACACGGAACUAGAAUUCAUUACUACAUUUUUCCCAUAAAGAAAAAGAAACAUAAGAUUCUUCUUUCUGCCCUUAUGACUGCAAUCGUUUAUUUCCAUAUACUUCAAAAUAAGCUUUCGAUUAUUUGUGUUAAGAGAAAGGGAAAUGCAAAACUCUAAAGAUGGUUAUCAUGGUAAUCAGUGACAAUAAAUUUCCCUGAAACAGAUUGAUACCCCAUUGACACUUCAUUUAUGCCUUGCACAACUAGGUCAACCUAUCUAUUUGCCAUUUCACAUCAGAAGCUGAGGCUGAGCUUGAGAUAUUCAUACUUUUGUCCUAAUGAAGAAUCUACAGUAGGUUAUCUAAGCCUCAUGUGCAUGAUACUCUGUUUUCAUUGCAGUGCUCUUCUUUGGCACCGAUUAAUGGGAAGAAAUGUUCUGUCUACAAGCUUUGCUGGGACUAAAAAGAUACGCUCUUACACUCACUGUGCAAAACAAUCAGUAGGUCUCAUAUUGCAGUUAACGAGCAGGUAAUCUUCCCUUUCUAAUUAUUUGACCGAAGUUUCCUAUCUUGCAGAAUGGCAUAACGCUACUUUUGAUCAACCUUGACAAUAGCACCACUGUCCAGGCAAAUCUUGCAUUCAACAAUAGAGUGACCGUGCAACACAAGCACAGGUCUAGGGUUUCGCACCACAAGCACAGUUUUCAUAAAAAAUUGAUUAUCCAGCUGCCUCAAGGCAGUGAUGCUGGAAUCAGAAGAGAGGAAUACCAUCUAACAGCAAAAGAUGGAAAUUUACACAGCCAAACCAUGCUACUUAAUGGAAACAUUUUAAGUGUAAAUUCGUCUGGGAUCAUACCUCCUUUGGAGCCCUUACAUGUAAUUUCAUCACAGCCAAUAAUGGUUGCUCCUUUAUCCAUUGUGUUCACUCACAUGCCAGAUGUUAUUCUCCUUGCUUGCAAGGUAUAAAAAAUUGGUUCCUUUUAGUGAUCGGUCAAAUAAGAAAUAGAACAUAUUGCUAAUAUUUCAUUUUGCCCAUGGUGAAUCAUAUGAUGCAACAUAUUUUUUCCAUAAACACUCGUAAUCCCUUUCUUCAUCCCAGUUUCUAUGGUAAAGAUGAGUGUAUAGAUGUGAUGAAUUGAUACAUAAGAAGCAAAACAACCUUACCGCUCUAGCUAACAAUGAGCCAAAUUCUGGUGCAAAUCACCUGCAAAAGUUAUCUUUUGACAGGGUCCAUAAGAGCAUGGACUUGCCCUAACUGUUGUCCUAACAGCUUUCAGUAGGUUGCAUGUGAGUUAAUAUAAUUGCCUACCACUAAGUCGAUCCCUGGUACGACAAACUUGUUAUUUGUCAUAUAACAGGCGGUACGAGAACAAACCACCAUAUAGAUUGGCCUAAUUUUUAUUCAUGAGGGAAUGUGUCUGUUAUUGUUCGGAAGAGAGAGGAGAGGAUAAGAUAUCCAGCACGGAUGUAUUGCACUUUCCUAGGAUUAUUACUGAUUGCUAGCUCCAGUAAGCAUCUGCAAAGAUUUUUAGAACCGCAAAUAUUUUCAGUACAAUUUGGUGGCCAAAACCUUUUACUUUAAUUUACAAAUUAUAUCAAGCAAAUCACAGUUUCAAUCAUACAUGUAUAUUUUCUAUGCAGGUAUAUGAACAACUACCAACUACGAAUAUCGGACAUGGUCAACUUUCACUUAGGCACUGUUCAGAGGGUCAAAUUUGGGACACCUCGAACACUGUGUCUAUCAGUUUCGAUGCUUCAAUCAGGAAAACCGCUAUAAUUCACAGAAACAAGGUCAAUCAAUCACCGAAGAGCUUUGAGGCUUACUGCUAGCGAAUGCCAACCAGACAAUGGCACCAGUCAAUUAGAAAAAUAUGGACCGUGCAGAGUUAUUUCUUUACAUUAUUCGGGGAGGGGAGAGGCAUCAUUUCCAAUUAGAAAAUGAAACUUACACUCCAUGAAUGAGUUGAAUCAAGAAGAAAACCGGUAAAGGCAAAACCUACAAUUCCAGGCACUGCUCCGACAGUGUUGGUAAUACCCUACAAGGAAAAUCUGAGGAAAUAACCGUUCGAUGUAAUUCAUGGAAAAGUAUGCUUUGAUGUAUGAUUGCAACAUUCUGUAGAUACAAGAAAGUUGAGGGUAUGCUCCAACUGUAUAACAGGAAUGCAUGAAUAUUACCUUUGCAUGCAUUUCCAAUCAUUUUAAAUGCUAGUGCUAACCACUAGCCACUAGUCAGUUUAAGACCCUGGAUUUCAAAUGAUAGACGCUUUCAAUCCUAGGCUUUGGUGUCAAGCCUAGAGACUAACAUAUAGAGGAUAGUUUAUCAGCCUAGAGAGUAACUUGCAGGUAUAAUUUUUAUUAAAAAAAUAUACUAAUUAGCAUCCAAAAUUUUGAACACUAUGGACUAUGGAGAGAACAUAUUCCCUCCGACAAAUACGUUGGCUGGUCUUUCACCCAGUACCUUUUACCCUCUAGGUACAACUCAUAAGAACUACAUAACAUGGAAUUUAUUUUGUGGCUUUGAGAAUAAUCGGUGAUCGCCCUAAAAACGGUUUAAGUUUUGAGAGUGCUGCAUCAACUAUAAGAAGGAUACAAGCAGCAGUUUUGCUUUAGGAAAACGGAGAAGAAACCAGGGUAAAUUUUGGAUGAAAUAAUCUGGUUUUCUUUAUUCAUUGUUUGAGCAGCUUCUAUUGCCUGUAUUCACUCCUAACAAACAAAACACAAAGCAAAGUUGCUCUAAUCUAACUUGUAAUUUCCUGGAAAUAAGUAAGAUUUCUUAACAGAAACCAUGGCAUUGACCAUCAAAAGAAAUAGAAAUUAUAACAUUAACCAUACUUGGCUACUUGCAUCUAAAAUCUCUACACUAUAGAAGUGAGCAGCAAAUGAAAAGCUGUGAGGAAUUCGUUUAAUUUGUAUUAAUUGAUGCAGAUAAUGAGUAACGGAAUAUUAAAGAGCCCAGUACACAGGGUGGUGACGAACACAGAUAAGUUGAGGAUAUCUGUGGCAAUGAUUAAUACGGAAAAGCCAGAGAAGGAGAUAGGACCUGUUGAAGGCUUGAUAGAUGAUAACAGGCCAAGGUUAUAUAUAGAAACGUGAAAAAUUAUGCUUCUUUCAACUAUGAAUGCUUUCAGAAAGGCAAAGUUGCACUUGAGGAAGUAAAAUUUCAUGCUUUGACUAUAGGAUCAUACAAGGAUUAAUGCUCUUCCGUAGAUUCUGAUACAUGCUUUGUGGAGUACCUUCAUCUACCAGAAUGUAAUAACUAAAUUUAGUGUUAUUGUUGUUUUGCUUUGAAGGUAACUUCAUUAAGGCUUAUUUAUUUUUCAUCUGUGCUCUAUAUGAUAAUCCUGAAGCAGGAAAAGAAAGAAUUAUAAUUGAAGCUUAAAAUUGAGACAGUGAUCAAUUGAGAAUUUAAGCCUAUUAAUGAAGCAUGUAGUUUAAUCAUAUGAUUUUUCAUUAUGUAAUUGACAUAAAUAAUGAAAAUAUAUGAUUAGUCUAAAUGUAGGAGCAAGCUUUCAUGCAAAGACGUUGAAGCUAUACAAAAAAUUUUAGCCAUUGAUAUUAGUUUCUAUGCAGCAGAUUAUAGGUACAAAGAAUUCAUAUGAUAUUUAAUAUCUGACUCUUUUUACCAAUUCCUGAAAUGUCAUAAAUUGUCAUAAAAUGGCCCUAUAAAAUGUAUUUUCUAACUUUAUUAAUGAAAUUUUCAAGGGCAACCAUUCAGGACGGUAUCAAAUUGAAUGAAAUAAAAGGGCAUUUCUUGCCCUGUUCUACUCUCCAGAACUAUGUGGAGAUAGGAGCAGCUGAAUAUGAUACAAGAAAAAAGACCACAAUCUUACAGGCCACUCAGAGAUUUCGCUGCUAUCACUUCGACUGCAUUGUCUGUGGAGGUCUAUUGUUUGUUCUUCCUCUUUGUGAUGGUCAGAAAAAGGCUUUGCAUCAUCUUCUAAAUGAUAUAGAAACCAAGAAACACAAUUUCGAUCCAUAUUCUUCCUCUCUUUCCGACUGAAUGAAUAGUUGUCACCAAGGAAAUGCUCAAAUGUCCUGAUUGUGGCAAGUCAAGGUUAAACUUUGUACUUUAACAAGGCAAUGUUGGUUAGAAGCUGUACAAGCCACAUCGCGAGUUUUCCCUGAUUGUAUAGUUGAAGAUUAUUCUGUACUCCGUCGAACUUCCAAGUUGGGCAAGAAUGUAUUAUAUAAUAAUAAUAAUAAUAAUACACCUUUGCCUGCAAAGGCAUCACCUUCACCGGUUGUCACCAGCUUGAGAUGUGACAGGAUAUGAUAUCUCUCCAACCGAACUACCUGUUUACUUCAUCAAAAUAUAUAAAAAUCUUGAAAAAAAAAAAUGAAGCAAGUUGAAUCGCUCUUUUUCAUGAUUUUGUCCAAUAGUUGGCUGCUUUGUCUUAAUGUUAUUGGGAACAUCAAUUUGGAUUAUUUCCCAAUAUUUACUUAGUUCAGAUCCACGUUGUAAUCUUCUUUCCCCUGCUAUUGUAGUUGUGAAAGCCAAUAGAGAAAACCAAGCUUCAAACCCCUCCAAAGGAAGCGGUUUUUGAAGGGCCUUAAUUGGAGGAAAUAGAGGCUGAUUAGAAAUCGAACUUUUGAAUUUUACAAACCAACCUAAGAUUUCCUGGGAUGUUUUUGACAAGCUCCCACUUCUAACGAAAACUUUUUCGCUGAAUACAUAAUUCCAGUCCAAAAACCAAUUUUAAAAGCAGUGGACAGAGUCGUGAAUGAUGUCAGGCAGAAACUAUAAAAGCUAAGAUAUUUUAAAAAAAGGGGCUAUAUAUUAGCUUGGAAAUAUUUAUCCAUUUCUUAUUCACCAAUCAGCAGGGAAGAAAGGUCUUUACCCCUUUGUGUAUCUGGGUCAAGUCUAUGCGCCAGCUCAAGAAUCUAACCUUGAUUUCCAUCUCUCUAGCAGGCUUGAACUAGCAGAAUCCUUAGGCUUUGCUUUGCCCUAAUAAAAACCCCUUCUGGUAACAGACAUCAUAACAGCAGCUCAACCCGAAAACUGAAAGGGUCUAUACAUCCCCAGCUACUUUCUGAGGCAAUAUGGCUGAACCUCUCCCUCCUAUCGAGCUUCAACCCCAAGCCAAAACUGUGCAGGAACUGGCGGCUAUCGACUGUAAAGAGGUCCCAGAAAGAUACAUCCGUAAAGGGGAUAACAGUGGAGCCCCUCAUGCUUCUUUUCCCGUGUUUGACGUUCCAACUAUCGAUCUUGAUCUCCUUUCAUCUUCAUCUACAAGUGGAGAAGAACUUGAGAAACUUAGAUCAGCACUCAGCUCCUGUGGUUGCAUUCAGGUCUGGUUCUUGGCACUAUUCUGGAGAAAAUUACCUUUCAAACUCCGUGACUUUCAGAACAUAGUCGAUUUUACUGUAUUUUAACUUCAGUUCGUAAAGCUCUUCAAGACAACAUAGUCCAACAACAUAAAAUACUAAGAGUAGCUCAAAUUUCUUGGGGAUUCAAUAGCUCAUCAAACAAAAUUUUUUAUGACUUUGACAUCAGUCUAUAUUUAAACCAUAAAGCAUUGAAAGAAUGAGUAUAAUUAAGCAUCUGAUCUGAUCUGGUUUAAGGCAUCUUUUAAAACUUUAUCAUCAAUUAGUAAUCUCAGAAUACAUGAAUAGUCACAAAUAAAACAACUUCCACCACUCUAACUUCAAACCUGAGAAUUAUUUUGAGAGUUUCAGGCAAUCAAUCAUGGAAUUACAAGUGAAUUUCUGGACAAAGUGCGAGAAGUUGCUCAGCAAUUCUUUGCUCUUCCAACGGAAGAAAAGAAGAAAUGCUCCAGAGAAAUUGGCAGAAUUGAAGGGUACGGGAAUGACAUGAUCCUCUGGGAGCAUCAGAUACUUGAUUGGACUGAUCGAUUGUAUCUUACGCUGAGCCCAGAAGAUAAGCGAACACUCAAAUUCUGGCCCGAAAAUCCUGAACCUUUAAGGUAUUUUGAUCUUGCCCUUUACUUCCCCGUAACCUAAAACAUCCAAUCUAUGAACUACUUUGCUACCUAUACAACAAGAAAAUAAAACACCAAGAAGGAAGGUUAGCAAUUAUAAAACUUAACCAUAUUUGUCAUAUCUGUUGCAGGGGAAUUUUACAUGAAUAUACGAUUAAACUGCAAGUGGUCGCCGAAGUCCUCUUAAAGGCAAUGGCAAGGUCACUAAACUUGGAGGAGAACCUCUUCUUGCACCAAUAUGGAGACCAAGCAAUAAUGCAAGCAAGAUUCAAUUUAUAUCCUAUAUGUCCAAGGCCUGAUCUUGUUCUUGGGGUCAAACCUCAUGCAGAUGGUUCAGCAAUCACCAUACUAUUGCAAGACAAAGAAGUAGAAGGUCUUCAAAUCCUGAAAGAUGAUCAAUGGUUUAAAGUUCCAAUCAUUCCUCAUGCCCUCCUGAUCAAUGUAGGUGAUCAAGUAGAGGUAAUGGCCCCAAUGAUCUCAUAAUAAGCACUCUAUAAGAAUAGACUGAUCAGUACCACUUAGAUAAUCCAUCAAUUAGAAUCCAUCAAUUAGAAGUUCUUUUGUAAAAGAUAUGUCAGUUUCCGCUGUAUAAAUUUGAUGCUAUAAAUCAAGAAUAUAGGGAUAAUUGACAUGUGACUGACAUUAGUGGUUCCAUGAACUGCACAUAGAUAAUGACUAAUGGAAUAUUCAAGAGCCCAGUACACCGGGUGUCGACAAACUCGGAAAGGGAGAGGACUACCCUCGCUGUUUUCUGCAUUCCACAUCCGGAUCAAGAGAUUCAACCAGCGGAAGAGCUCAUCAAUGAGACAAGGCCCAAAUUAUACAAGAAAGUGAAAGAUUAUGUCAGUCUAUACUUCCAAUACUACCAGCAAGGAAGGAGACCUAUAGAAGCAGCACUAAUUUGAUAUUUCCUGACAUUUCCUUUUCGCUUUUGGCUUGUACUCAGAAAUGGCAUCCAAAGCAUUGAGAAUUGGAACCAAUAAGGGUGAGAUUUUAAGGAUAUAAAGAAACUUCACUUUGCCGUUUGUUUGUUUUUUUUUUUUUCUCUUUGCAGGUCCCGAAUACUGAGAACAAUUUCUAGGGCAAUGGCUCCCCACUAUCAAAUUAGUCAGAUUAAGCCCUUUAAAUGAUAGACAUCAAGUCUUCAUGUCACCAUCAUCCCUAGUUUAAUUGUUUAAGAUAUAAACAUAGCUAGUCUGAAUUAUGCCACAGGCUGUCCAAAUACAUGGCUGCAACUUCGAGCUGGUGUCUAAUUCAAUUCCCCCUGCUAAGCGUUUUCCACCUUAGCAAUCCAUAAUUAGUCAGAUCAAGGAUGUCUCUGUUCUCAGCAACCCUUCUAUCAUUUUCAGAAAAGGUCGUUCAGUCCCUCUUAUCAUCUUUAUUCAACACGAAACCGUUCAAUUCAAUAUGAAGAGGUUCCUGAUUAUCCUUAGAAUACUUAAAUGGAUGCCAAAAGAAAGUAGAUGGCUCAUUGCAGAAAUCAGUUGAAGCAAAUGAUUAAAUACAAUAUUUUCAAUAUAUAGAAAAAAAAAAAAAAGGGGGGAACAUUAGAGGUAAAAAUUACUGCAGUUUCUUUUAUUCAUCAUGUCAAUGAUAACAGGAAGAUUUGAGAUAAAAAAUUUCCAGUCAACAAAAUGAGGUUCUCAAAACUGCUAUCUAAAAUAAAGGAUACGACAAAAAAAAAGUGAUAUGCCCAAAGCAAAAUUAUUCUUAUUGAUACAACAAAUACCCUUGAUACAGCAAACUGCUAUCUUGGCCUUUUUUUUUUUUUCAAACUCUUAACUGUCCCGUUGCAAAAAUUAGAGAACCUAAGUCCAUUAAGCAUUGUCACCUUAAAUUUCAGCCACUGCUACCACCUCAUGUUAAUUCUGAGGAGACUUUUCAGCACAGAAGGAUACCUGUUACUAUUAAUCAAAAUUGUGAUAGAAAAGGAGGUCGAGAGAUUUUGUUUUUCGUCGUCUAUAAGCAUGAGGUGUAUGCAGACGAUAGUUGGCUCGUAUAGGCUUGAAACUGCGUGCAAGAUUCAAAUAUAUUUCGAUCAUCUGCUUGCAAAAAUACCAUCCGAGUUCAGAUAAAACAAGAAAACCUCAUAUAGAUAUAAGGUAUAUAUGCAGCUAAACCGACAAACCUCAUUUAGAUAACCUUGACGUUAUUAUAAAUAGGGAACACCAAUUUGGAUUAUAGUUCCCAAUAUUUAAUUGGUUUAGAUCCAUGUUGUAAUCUUUUAUCCCCUGCCAAUUGUAGCUGUCAAAGCCAAUAGAGGAAACCAAGCUUCAAAUCUCUGCAGAGUAUGAAUAGCCUUAAUGGGGGGAUAGAGGCUUAUUAUAUAAUGAAGCUACCCAAACCCUUUGCGGACAAUCAUAAUUCUAGUCCAAAAGAAAUUUUCAUAAAACAAUUUUAGAGUCAUGAAUGACGUGAGGCAGAAACUACAAAAGCAGAGAAGACUUUUAAAAUAAACUGAAGAUAGAAGACUUCCGAUAAAUGGAAGGGUAAAUUAUACGUUAGUCACCAAACUUUAGUUGAUUUUUUAUUUGUCAUUGAAUUUUGAAAAAUUAGUAUUUAAUCACUAAUAUAUAUAACUUUUUUAUCAUCGACCGAUAAUCUUUAACAAUAUCAUAUCAUCUAUCACCAUAUGUCAUUGUUCCAUCAUCUGACAUAUGACAUUAUUAAAUUAAUAUUAUAAAUUUUGAAAAAAAUUAGAAAUCAAAAAUAAAAAAAUUUUACUUUGUCACAUAAAUUUUUAAAAGUUUUUAUUUUUUCUUGACAAUUCAAUUUUAAAACUUUUAUAAUUUAAUCCAUAAAGUUUAUGAAAUAUCACUAUUCACAAUUUUCGGCAAAUUUUCAUAGAUAGAAAACUUUUUUGACGUGUCUCUUAUCUUAAGGCCUUUCAUGUUUUAUUUUCUUUGUCUUCAUGUGAUAAUGUGCUAACCUUUUUUGCUUAUUUAAUGAAUUUUGUUGACUCUUUACCAAAGAAGUAUGUAGAGGGACAGAAUUUACUAUUUUGGAUAAGUAGAGGAUCAAUUAUAUAAUUUGAUAAAUUCCAAAUAAGGUAUAGAAGUGCAGUUAAUUCUCAAUAUAUAUAUAUAUAUAUAUAUAUAUAUAUUGCAGCAAAGAUUUGAACAAAAAAAAAAAAGGCUCCGGCAGGCUCUUGAACUAGCAAAUUCCUCGGGCCUUUGCUUUGCCUGCUCCCUUUAGGUAACACCAUCAACAUUACAGCAACUGAAAAGGGUCUUUAAUUCCCAGCUACUUUCUGAGGAAAUAUGGCUGAAUCUCUCCCUUCUAUCGAGCUUAACGACAAGCCAAAACUGUGCAGGAACUGGCUGCUAUCAACAGUAAAGAAGUCCCAAGAAAGAUACAUCCAUAAAGGUAAUAAUACUGGAGCCCUUGAUGCUUCUUUUCCCGUGUUUGACGUACCAACUAUUGAUCUUGAUCUCCUUGCAUCUUCAUCCGCCAGUGGAGAAGAAUUCGAGAAACUUAGAUCAGCUCUCACCUCGUGUGGUUGCAUUCAGGUUUGGAUUUUUUCACACUCUUACGUAAAAAGUUACCUGUCAAACUCCAUGACUUUCAGAUGAAAGUCAAUUUUGCUGUUUUGCAACUUCAGUGCAUAAAUCUCUUCAAGACAACUUAGUCCAAUAAACAUACAAUUCUGACUUUUACAUAUAUUUAAAUCAUAAAGCUUUGAGAGAAUGAUUAAAAUUAAGCACCUGAUUUGAGCUGGUUAUGGCAUCUUUUUAAAACUCGAUCAUCAACUCCUUAAAGCAUUAGCAAUCUCAGAAUGCAGGGAAUACUCACCCCAAAGUAAGGGUAAGAAAAAAAAAUUAGUUUACUUCGAAACUGUGUUUUUUUUUUUUUGCGAGUUUCAGGCAAUCAAUCAUGGAAUUACAAGUGAAUUUCUGGACAAAGUGCGAGAAGUUGCUCAGCAAUUCUUAGCUCUUCCAACGGAAGAAAAGAAGAAAUACUCCAGAGAUAUUGGCAGCAUUGAAGGGUACGGGAAUGACAGGAUCCUCUGGAAGCAUCAGAUACUUGAUUGGACUGAUCGAUUGUAUCUUACGCUGAGCCCAGAAGAUAAGCGAACACUCAAGUUCUGGCCUGAAAACCCUGAACCUUUUAGGUAUUCUUGUUCUUGUUCUAUAUGUCCCCAGGAUCCAAAUUUCCAAUCUUGCACACUAUUUUGCUGCCUAAAAAAAAAAAAAAAACACACCAAGGUGAAUGUCAGCAAUUAUUCAACUUAAAUAUAUUUGACAUAUCUGUCACGGGAAUUUUACAUGAACAUACAAUGAAAUUACAAAGUGGUCGCUGAAGUCCUCUUAAAAGGCAAUGGCAAGGUUACUAAACUUGGAGGAGAACCACUUCUUGCACCAAUACGGAGACCAACCAACAAUACAUGCAAGAUUCAGCUUCCAUCCUAUAUGUCCAAGGCUUAAUCUAGUUCUUGGGGUCAAACCUCACGCAGAUGGUUCAGGAAUCACCAUACUGUUGCAAGAAGGUCUUCAAAUCCUGGAAGAUGAUCAAUGGUUUAAAGUUCCAAUAAUUCCUCAUGCCUUCCUGAUCAAUGUAUGUGAUCAAGUAGAGGUAAUCGCCCCAAUGAUCUAAUAAUAAACCCUCUAUAAGAAUAGAAUGAUCAGUACCACUUAGUUAGUCUAUCAAUUUGAAGUUCUUUUGUAAAAGAUAUGUCAGUUUCUGCUGCAUAAAUUUGAUGCUAUAAAUCAAGAAUAUAGGGAUAAUUGAAAUGUGACUUACAUUAGUGGUUCCAUAUAUGAACUUCACACAGAUAAUUGAGUAAUGGAAUAUUCAAGAGCCCAGUACACCGAGUGGUGACAAACUCUCAGAGGGAGAGGAUUACUCUGGCUGUUUUCUGCCUUCCAUAUCCUGAUCAAGAGAUUCAGCCAGUGGAAGAGCUCAUCAAUGAAACAAGUCCCAGAUUAUACAAGAAAGUGAAAGAUUAUGUCAGUCACUACUUUCAUUACAUCCAUCAAGGAAGAAGACCUAUAGUAGCAGCGCUAGUUUGAUGUUCUUGGCAUUUCUUUUUUGUUUUUUUGGCUUGCACUUGGAAGUGGCAUCCAAAACAUUGAGAAUUAAAGCCAAUAUGGGUGAAAUUUUAAGGAAACAAAGGAACUUCACAUUGCCCUUUGUCCUUUUUUUCUUUUCCAGGUCCAGGAUACUGCUUAUAAAUUGUAGGCCAGAGGCUCCUUACUAUCUAAAUGGUCAGAUUAAUCCCUUUAAAUAGGGACCUUUCCAAUAUCCCUGGGUUCGCCUCUGUCUACAAGUCACAUUAGUCCAUUGCUUCAACCAGUUCCAGUAAAGAUAUGAUCAGACAUUGCCGCAGAUUAGAAAUGCUACUAUAAGAAUAAUUUUAAAGAGGGGUCCUAGCGUAUGCCUACUGAAUGCCAAUGCUUCAUUGCAACAACCAAUCAAUGACACGGCAUGAAAGAUGAAGAGAGGAGAAGAGCAUAACUGACUUUAAAUGAGACCUUGACCGGCGGUUUUAAGACUGGAAAUCGCAAGGUUCUGAAGAGAAUUGCUGAUUCAGAUAGGUUGUGCACGUAUUUUGAGUGAAAAGCAGACCGGAUCAACGCAUUUCUCGUGUAUGAUAAUGCCAACAAUCAGAUGUGGACAAUUAUUUGAAGCACCUACCAUCAACAAAUGGAGAACCAAAAAUUGCUACAGAAUAAAUGAUACAACAAUCGCCCAUCUCCCUUCCGAAGAAUAAAAAAAACAAAAAAGCAAACCGAUACAACAUACUCUAACAAGUCAUGAAAUCUGAAAACCAAAGGAACUACUCAGAAUCAGAAAAUCAAAUAAUUUCCUCAGGCCACUGCUUGUGACAAUUUCUCUUGUCCUAUCUCAGUGCUCAUGUUAUUUUUUAGUCUACACUUUCCUUCUAAUUUAUUCAGAAAAGGAACCGAAUGGCAAAAAGAACCUUAUGUUGGAAUUCGGUUCCCAAAGAACAUAAAAUUUUGCAGCCAUGACGAUGUGCACGAGGUUGGCACACUACCGAUAUUCUUCACUGCUGAUUUUAGAGAACUGCGGGAGAUCCAAUCACCAUAAUGUAGAAAAAAGACAUCAAGUGAAAUCCUUCACAAGAAUAACCAAACAAUGCCAAAUCAAUAUCAGAAUGAUAGACAGAUAUAUAAAUAAAUUAAUUAACAAACAUAUAUAAAUAUUACACACAUACGUAGAUACAUAUGUAUACAUUAUAUCAAUCAGAAUUAUACUAAUUAAAAGGGGAGAGAGAGAAAGAAAUUAAGUUAAUGGGGCAAAAUUUAUUGUUUAGCAACUCACAGUAUAGCUGUAAUGAAGCAAAUAAGAUUAGUCUGCAAUAGUGCAUAAAAUAUUUGUGUCCUAGUAAAAAUCCUGAAUUAUCAGAUUCAAAUGAUGCAAUUGGUGCAACAGACAAAAAAAUUAUUAAUCUCAUGUAUAUGAAAAGAAAAUAGUUGCAAACUCAAACAGUUGCCAAGUGCAAACCCACCAUGCCCUCCAGCAAGCAUAAUCUUUAAGCAUCAACAUUAAAGCCUUGAUUUUAGAACUUUUGGCAUAAAAAGCCUUUUGAGCUUUUGACAAUUAAAUAACUAUUAUAAUGGCCAAAAAAUUGUGCAACCUACAAUAAGAUAUAGAAAUAAUUAGCCAUACAACUUACAGAUAAAACAAAAACAUUGAGCUAAUGGAUUUUAACACUCUCCACAGAAGAUGAAAGAGCUGCACCAUUUCGCUCAACAGAUUUCUCUUGCAAAACCUCAAACUUCUCUGAAUCUCCAAACAGUUCCUUUCGAAGAACACCAUGCAAUCUACCAAAGAGCUGCUUCUUCAAUGACUCAAUGGCAAAAUCCAUUUUCUCAAGCUGUUCCAUUGAAUUUACAUUGUACAUGAACAGCCCAUAAUAAAGUUCAAAGCUGUCUCCAGCUGUAUUCUCCACCAGCCUCAACAAAGUCUCAUACCCUUUUGUGUUAAUUGGUGUAGACUCCAAUUCUAGCUUCUCCAAAACCCUGCCCAUCGUGUGGGUAAUGAACUGUGAACCUGCCGCAUGCUGAUCAUGUUCUGCACAAGUCAUCUCCACCAUUCGGCAUCCUUCAUGUGCAAAAAUAUCAAGGAACCUAUUACACCGAGCUACUCGUCUUUCAUCACUUCCAACCCUCACCUUAUCAAAAACAAAUGGAAGCCCAUUCCACCCAUUUUUACCACUUUCUGGUCCAAACAUUGGAUGCGUGCACAAAAUAUCAAAAUCUGAUGGUAAAUGUUGAAGAAACAAAUGCCUUGGGAACUCUUUCACAGAUAGUACAUCAACAAACAGAGUACUUCUCCUCAAUCUCUGAAAGGGCAAUGACUUGAGAACUUUUUCUGUUGAAAGAAUUGAGGUACACAGAAGAAUAACUUCUGGAUGCUCUUCACAGAGGUCAUGAGCAUCAGAGAAGAAAGAAACCCCCAAUUUCUGAGCCACAUCUCUGUAAUCAGUUCUUGAAUAAGCUAAAAGUAAGUGGCCCUGUCGAACCAGGGUUUUUGCAAGGAACUGGCCAAAAUUUCCAAAUCCAACAAUUGCAAUCUUGAGCUUUGAACUGUCAUCAACACUUUCGGAUAUCUUUCCUUUGAAUUCAUAAGGUAUAAUAUAAUCUUCAGAUCUGAAAGUUCCAGUAAGAGCCUGUAAAUAUAUUAUUCAAAUAGAUUUUGCAGCACAGCAAUCUCAACGUACUCUCUCCCAAGCAGUUUUAGAGGUCUGCUAAUCCUAGAUCUAUGAUAAACUUUCCAAAGAUUAUGAAUUAAAUCUGAUAUUAAACAAGUUAUGGAAAAAAUUGAUAUUGAAAUCCUUCCUUCCCAACAACUCAGACCAUGAUCUUGAUAAGUAUUCCUAAAGCAACAUUUACUCCAAUAACUAAAUUGGAAAAAUAAAUUAUCUCUACUGCUAAACAAAUUCUACAAAUUUAAUAUUAAACAACUUUCAAAGGAAAAGGAUUAAACAUAAACAACUAGUAAAACGAUGAAAGAUUCUAAAUUCUAUUUCGAUAAUUUUUCAUAUUUACCUUCAAUUGAAACGCAAAGUCUUUAGUCUUUGAGAGCUAAGAGGAAAGUUGAAUUGAAUGAACAAUUAAAAUAACAAAAGUAAUAUUCAAGAAUUACCUCGAAGUAUUUGAGCUUGAAGCCAAAACAGCACCAUUUUGGUAACUAAUCUCUUGCAAAUUCUUCCCCUUCCCUCCAUUCUCAAACAAUUGUUUCCUUACAACAUGAUGCAACCUGCCAAAAAGCUCAUUCCUCAAAGCAUCAAAAGCCAAAUGCAACCUCUCCACCAUCUCCAGAGCACUCUUAUUAUACAGAAACAAGCCAUAAUACAAAUCAAAGCUAUCCCCGCAAGUAUUAUCAACCAAAUCCAAUAAAGUCUCAUAACCCUUUGUAUUAAUCGGCGUUGACUCCAAUCCCAACAUGUCCAACACUCUUCCAACAGUGUGAGUCAUAAACUGUGACCCCGCCGCAAACUUGUCGUGCUCCAGACAGCUCAUUUGCACCAUUUUACACCCUUCACUUUGAAAUAUUCCAAGAAAUUCUUCACAUCUUCGAACUCUGGAGGAUUCAUUACCGAUUCUAACUUUUUCGUAGACAAAGAAGAGGUCUUUCCAGCUUCGUUUGCCGCUUUGAGGUCCGAACAUGGGAUGGGAACAAAUGAUGUCGAAAUCAGGGGGCAAGACAUCUAGGAGGAGAUUCUUGGCGAACUCUUUGACGGAUAAAACAUCAACAAACAAUGUGGAUCGUUUCAGUCUUUGUAAAGGAAGAGAUUCCAAGACAUGUUCGGUUGAGAUAAUUGAAGUACAAAGGAUGAUAACAUCUGGGUGUUGUUCACACAAGUCGUGUGGGUUCAGAAAGAAGGAAACUCCCUGUCUUUUGGCUAAGUGAGAAUAGUCGGAUCUCGAGUGGGCUAUAACAUUGUGGCCUCGAGAUACAAGAGUUUUAGCUAGGAAUUGGCCGUAGUUUCCAAAGCCAAUGAUGGCAAUCUUGAGGGUGGAAAGGGGUCGGGUAUGGUUUGGGUCGAGUUCCGAUGUUGGCGUGGGGGCGGUCGAGGAACAAUUGACAUGGAGUGGUUUAGAGGCGUGAAGGAAGAUGGAUUUUGGUGGUGCUGUUGGGGCAAACGAAAUAGAUUGAAGGAAAGGUGGAAAGGAAGAGGAAAGAAGGAAAAGGGAGGGCUUUGAAAGAGAAUGAUGGAAAGAAGGAAGAGAGAUCAUUGGGAGUUUUGCAGAGAGGAAUUCUCUGGUUAUUGAGGCAUAAAUAGCAAUCGGCUGCGGAAACCUUUGCCCUUUCUUGCGUCUUUGAAAACGAACACGAGGGACAGAAUGAAUAUUAGAGUGACAAUGGAUCCAAUGGAAUCGAAUUUAAUUUCAAUUUUUUAUAUGGAUAAUAUUAUAAAUUUUUAAAAUUUGAUUUGAAUUUAAAUAUAAUUUUUAUGUGAUUUGAGUUUUAUUGAUUUGGUUUCAUUUUGGUUAAUCAAUUUUUAAUUUUUUUGUUUUUUUAUAUAUUAUUUUAAUAUAUUUAAAUAAAUGUAAGUAUAAAAUAAUUAUUUUUAUUUUAUAAAAAUUUAAAAUAUAUAUAAAAUUAAUAAAAAUAUAUAAUUUAAUUUGAUUUGAUUUUUUUUUUUUCGAUUUGAAAGUUGAUGUAAAUUUUAUAUAUAUAUUUUAUAUUUAAAUUUAUUUUAAAUAAAAUAAAAAAUCGAUUUAAAUUAAAUCGAACACUAUAAUUUUAAAUUAAUUAAUAUUUUUUUAUCAUUCUUGUGAACAAGGAUUUUCUUAGAACUUUUUUUUUAUUAUUUUAUCAUUUCAAUAAGUAGUAUUAAAAAAUGAAACUGAAUGAAAUGUUGACUCAAUAAAAAAGAAGUUUUAGAUUUAAAUUUUAUUAUGUAUAAUUUUAAUUCGAUUUUAUAUUAAAAUUAUCUAAUUAUAUUCUUAAUUGAUUAUUUAAUAAUUAUAUAUAUGUAAAUAAAACAUCUUAUUAUAAUUAUAAUAUGAUUAUAAUUUUUUUAUACUUGUAAAUUAAAAAAAAAAAAAAAAACGAAAUGCAUGUUAUGUUUACUAUUUCCGAAGUUGCACGGGAGGAGAAUUUUGGUACACAAUUUGGUUGAGUUCUAUUAAUCAAUUGUAUGGAUUUUGUGUUUUUUUUUCCUUGCCUAAGUAUUCUUUUGGAACUUUGAUUUGAUUCAUUUUACAUUAAUAAUCUUAUUAUUGUUUAGGUUUUUUUUUUUUAUAUAAAAGAUAAUGCAUACCGGAAAUCAGUGACAAAGUGAGAAGUAUUGAAAUUUGUUAGAUGUUAUUUUUUAAAAUAUGAUUAUAUAAAUUAAUUGAAUCAUAUUUAUCAAAUAAUUAUUUCAUUAUAAUUUUUUAUUGAGCUAAUAUAUAUAAAGAAAAUUAUCUCUUACUUCAUGAUUGUUACCUCUCUUUUUUAUAAUACUUAAAUUUUAAAUCUCUUAGAUUUAAUUCAAAAUUUAAUUAUUGAGUUGAAUAUAAUUCUUCAAACUUUAAUGUGUAUUGCAUUUAUACUACAUUUGAUAAGCAUAAAGAAAAAAUAAUUAAAAAAUAAUUUCUAUAUUUGUACAUAUUAAAAAUUAGUAAAAGGUUACAUAUUUUUGUUAAUCAAAUAAUUAAUAAUUAACAUAAGUUUCAUUUAUUUAUUUCCUUAAACAAAAAACUUGACUUGCUUAUAUAAUAUUUAUUUAUAUAAGAUAGGGCUUUGGUUUUGUAAUUUUUUAUUUACAAUAAUUAAUAAGAUUAAAAAUGAGAAAAAAAAAUGGUAUGGACAAAACAAAUCCACAAAAUUUUAAUAUCAAGAGGGGGCUCUAUUGUAAUAUUGUAGACUAGCAAGGACAAAGCUGAAAAAAAAAUCAGGGGCAUUAAAGGAAAGCUCCAGUGCGGUGGGCUGACUAGAGCUUCCAGCCCUCCAAUGCAGUUACGCCAAAUCCAACCGUAUGGAGAUACAUUAGUCGAACGGACAUUCCGCGGUUGGACAAAUAGAUUCCAUCACCCAACGAGGCUAUGUUUUGUGGAUGCAUGUAUUUCGAGAUUAGUUUCAUUUAAAUUUAAUAUUUUGAUUCUAUAUUCAUAUAUAUCAUUCAUUGAAUAAUAUAAAUAAUUAUGAAUUAAAUUUAAAUUACGUGAAUAUAACUAUUCAUAAAUUUAUCUAUUUAUGAAUUUAUGGCAUUUAUAAAUUUAAUUAAUUGUAAAUAAAUGUAUUUAAUUGUUUGUGUAAUUUAAGCUUAACAUAUAUAUUGAAUAGUAUAAAUAUUUAUAAAUUAAAUUCAUAUUAUUAUAUCUUAAUCUUAUUUUUUUUUCAUGUUUGAACAUGUUGUAAAGGUAUAAGUUAUCGGUUUGUAUUAUAAGAAAUUAAUUUUUAAUUUUUAAUUUAUGCAUCAAUUGAGUUUUGAUUAAAUGAAAUUUUUUAUUUGUUCACGUAAAAUAUUAUUUUAUAAAUAUCUAUUAUUUAUUCAUGUUAAAUGAAAUUAUGACAAGAGUGAAAUCGGCUAAACUUUUUUAGAUUUUUUUGUAAUUUUAAAUCUCUUACAUUUAUAUUUAUUAGAAAACAUUACAGGCAUAAAUUUUUUUGAAGUGCAAAUUUCGAUAUUAUAUCAACUGAUUAAACAUCAGUCCACCGACAACUAAUGAAAUCUAAAUCAAAAGUGUCCUUUAGGCAAACCGUAUAAACAUUUAUAAUUGAAUCAAAUAUGGAUGGUGCACCAAUAUUUUCAACUUAAGAAACAUAAAAUUAUUGAUGUUUUAUUUUUGUUUGUUUUUUUGUUUGUGGUGCUUGACAUGUCUCAUUCCCUGUCAUUUCUAUUGUGCAUGGAAGUAUAUAUUAUUCACCGACAAAGGAUUCACAAAGUGAAAAGCAUAUAAAAUUUGCUUGUCAGAUUAAGGUCUUAAAUCUGGUAACUGAGGUUCCAACAGCUUCUCAAGCAACAAAAGUAAAAAAGAAAGUAAUUGGCACAAGCUGUCUGCUCUACCAUUUACGUUGACUAAUUGAUCCCUCAAUCACAAAUUUCCGAAAAAAGAAGUAAUUUUAAAAGAAACAUUGGAAGAGGGAAUUAGAGGAUGGUCAAAGGAAGCAAAUGGCAACCGACUGCAAUAAACAAUCCAUUGCACACGUUGCAAAAGUAGGGGGAUAAUUCAAGCAAUUUGUUUCCUAUUAAAGGAUGCAAGUUUUUCCUAUUUAUCAGUUUGAGUUUGGUUUAAGCUAGUAUUUAUGAAUUACAUGCGUUUAUUAUAUUACAAAUGGUAUCGAUCAGCUCUGAUUCAAACUUAAUUAUUAGAAUAUGUUGAUUGUGGUUCUUGGUCAUGACCACGUCCAUUCCAUGUUGAUCUUGGUUCUGCUGUUAAGAAUUUAAGCAGUAGCUAUCCAACUUAGAAAUUGAAGAACCCUGACUUUAAUUGAUUCUAAUUGAGACUUUCUUGAGAAGAUGCAAUUGCAGCACCAUUUCUCCCAACAGACUUCUCCUUAAAAAUUUCAAGCUUCUUUUCUGGGGCUGUGCCUGUCAGUACCGAUUUCUCCAACAAAAUUUGGAACUUCUUUUCUGGAGAUGCAAGCAUUGCAGCCCCAUUCGGCACAACUGAUUCGCUGCAUUUCCACCAAUUGAUUUCCCCUUUCUGGAAGUACUUCAAGCUGAGAUAGACACCUUAUAAAAUUACUGAGAAUUAACCUCUUAUAGGUGUAUAUAUUUAAGCAUAUUAGAGAGAAUGAGAUGAUCCACAUAAGUAUGGUGGUGUGAAUAUUUGUGAGUGGAUUAGAGAAAAUUAAAAGGGUCUACAUAGGUAUGAUGUAUAGAUAUGUGUUUGUUUGAGUUGUUUAUACUCCAUAAGACUAGAAGAGAUUGAAAAUGCCUAUAGGUAUUGAUUAUUGAGUGUUGAUUGAUAUGAGUUGUAUGUUUAUAAUUUUUUACAACUAAUGGAUUUUUUCUCAUUUGUGGACAUAAGUUGUUUGGGUCGAAUUACGUUAAAUUCUUAUCUCUUGUAUGCUUGAUUAAUUGUUUGAUUUUGCUUUCAUUGAUAUGAUUGGAUUGAGGUUUUUUAACCUAACAUAAAUAGCAUUUUGAGAUCUAAAAAUUGCAAGAAAAUUUUCUAAAUAUGUCUAAUUGGAUUUUGCUUAGUGGUUAUUAUAUUUGUAUCAAAACUUGCACUCUAUCCAAGUAGUUUUUUGCAAUUCUUGUAACAAUGUAAACAUUGUUUUUAUUAUUUUAUGAUCUACGUUAGAAGACGUGUUUAGGACUAUUGAUGUGGAUUCAUAAACGUUGCUUAGUUAAAUGUGUCAAAUUGUUCCUAUUUUUUGGUAUUAGUUAUUUUUUUGUUGUUCUUGUUUGUGGUCAUGACGUAAUCUUAGGACCAUGAUUUUAAUGGGUCGUUAUUAAUUAAGCUUUAAAUUGUAAUAUUUUUUAUGUUAAGUGAAAUUAAGUUUUCUUUAUUUCAAAAUACGUUGCUCUCAAUUUCAUUUGCCUUUACUAUAGUAAUACUCUGUUUUUCUUUUCUUCUUAAAAAAUAACAACAUUUGGUAUCAGAGCUCUCUUUUUAAGGGAUCUGUGUGUGAAUUUGACACAUCAUGAAAGCCGAAGUCAGUCUCUUUGCAAUUACUCCGUUGGUGAUCAAUUGAGACAACUACUAGAUUUGGAUAGUACAUAUGAAGAUAUACUUUGAAGCUUUGGAUCUUUGGGAAGUAGUGGAAGAAGACCAUCAAAUUCUUGCACUUUUGAACAAUCCCACCAUGGCACAGAUGAAAGAGUAGAAAGAAAAGAAAGACAAAAAAAAUCAAAAGCAAAGGCUUGCUUGUUUGCUGCAGUCUCAUCCACCAUCUUCACUCGUAUCAUGUCUCUGAAGUCAGCAAAAGAGAUAUGGGAUUAUCUCAAGAACAAAUAUGAAGGAGAUGAAAGAAUUAAAAGGAUGCAAGUCUUGAACUUGAUCAAAAAAUUUGAACUUCAAAGAAUGAAAGACUCCAAGAUGAUUAAAGAUUACUCUGACAGGCUUUUUAGUAUAGCAAACAAAGUGAGGCUUUUUGCAUCUGAAUUUACUGACUCAAGAAUUGUAAAAAAAAUUCUUGUUACAGUACCUGAAAGAUAUGAAGCAACCAUCACUACCUUGGAAAAAUACCAAGGAUCUAUCAAAAUUUUUUUAGUAGAAUUGCUUAACACAUUGCAAGCACAAAAACAAAAGAGACUGAUGAAGGAGGACAAUCGAAGGAGCUUUGACAGCCAAGCAUCAAAACGUGGCCAAAAACAAAAAGAAGAAAAAGAAUGAUUUUGAAAGACUUAGGGUAAGUACAUCAUCAGCCAAUGCAAAAGAAAAGAAUGAAAAUCAAAAGAAAUUCGAUCCACUUUGCCAACACUGCAGAAAAAAAAGGUCAUCCUCCAUUUAGAUACUAGAGAAAACCUGAUGCUAAAUGCACUAAAUGAAAUCAGAUAGGGCAUGAAACUGUUAUCUGUAAAAAUAAAAAUCAACAACAAAGUGAAGAGGUAAAAAUUACUAAUCAAGAAGAUGAGGAUCACCUGUUCAUUGCUACAUGUUUCUCUGGCAUCGAAUCAAGUGAGAGUUAGCUUAUAAACAGUGGUUGUACUAACCAUAUGACACAUGACAAAGAUCUAUUCAAGAAACUAAGCAAUGUAAACUCAUCGAAAGUUCGAGUUGGUAAUGGCAAGUACAUAAUUGUGAAAUGAAAAGGAACAGUUACAAUUUCAACCUAUUAAGGUACAAAGUCAUUUUUUAUGUGUUGUAUGUCCCUGAAAUUGAUCAAAACUUGUUAAGUGUUGGAUAACUAAUUUAUGUGGGUUAUAAAGUUAUGUUUGAAGUAAAAGUUGCUUGAUUAAAGAUACAGUUGGCCAAGAUAUUUUUAAAGUAAAAAUGAAAGGAAAAAGCUUUGCUCUAAAUCCAUUAGAGAAUGAGCAAACUGCUUUUCCAAUCAAAGAAUAUAUCAUUGAAGUAUGGCAUAAGAGGCUCAACACUAUCACCAUCAGAGGCUACUACAGAUGAAAUCUAAGAAGAUAGCAAAUGAUUUUUCAAAACUUGAUGAUCAUAUUCCAAACUGCAAAGCAUAUCAGUUUCAAAAGCAAAAUAGGAAACCAUUUCUCAAGACAACAUAAAGAGCAUCAAAGAAACUAUAAUUAAUUCAUACUAACAUUGUAGGCCCACAAAAAAUGCCUUCUCUGAAAGGUAGUCUUUAUUACGUUGCAUUCAUUGACAAUUUCACCCAUAUGUGUUAGAUCUUCUUUUUAAAGCACAAGUCAAAGGUGGCUCAAGUCUUCUAGAACUUUAAAGCUAAAGUUGAAAGUGAGAAUGGCUAUAAAAUUCAAACUCUCAAAUUAGACAAUGGCAAGGAAUACACCUCUAAAGCAUUCAAUCAUUUUUGUAAAGAGGCAGGCAUCCAACAUCAAUUAACCGCGCCAUACACUCCACAAUAAAAUAAAGUAAGUAAAAAGAUAGAAUAGAUUCAUAUUGGAGAUGACACGAUGUAUGCUACAUAAGAAGAACCUGCCAAAGCAAUUAUGGGUUGAAAUAGCAAACACUGUUAUUUUUUUACAAAACAAGCUUCUCAUAAGAACAGUAAAAGAUCAAACACCUUUUAAGGCAUGGUAUGGUUGUAAACCAUCUUUGAAUUUCCUUAAAAUAUUUGAAUGUUUAUGUUUCAUUCAUGUUUCAUAGAUUAAGAGAGAUAAACUAGAUAAAAAAAUAUUUUUUAGGCAUCUUCAUUUGUUAUAGCUCGAUUGCAAAAGCUUAUAAAGUUUUUCAGUCAUAAACUAAAAAAAAUAUUAUAAGUAGGGAUGUACACAUUAUGAAAGACGAAGAGUGGAACUGGGAUGAUGCAAAGAACAUGGAUCCAACAUCAAAAGAGCCCAAGCUCAAGUUUUUUGUUUUAGACAUAGCAAAACAUAGUAUUAGAGAUUGAGAGAAUAAAAUGAUGGAUGACAGUCCUAUCAGAGGCAUAAGACUACUUUCUGAUGUUUAUCAAAGAUGCAAUAUUGUUGUGUGUGAACCUACAAAUUAUGAAAAACCUAAGAUGGAUCAAAAUUGGAUUGCUAUAAUGAAAGAGGAACUGUUCAUGAUUGAAAGGAAUAAAACAUGGGAGUUGGUUGAACGACCCUAAAACAAAAAGGUAAUUUAAGUCAAGUGGGUGUACAAAACCAACCUUAAUGCUAAUGGCUCAAUCAAUAAGUAUAAAGCUAGAUUCAUGAUCAAAUGAUAUGCUCAAAUACUCAGUGCAUACUACUUAGAUACCUUCGCACCAAUUGCUAAACUUAACACCAUCAGGCUCUUACUUAUCAUUGCAGCGUCAAAGAAUUGAAAGGUAUACUAGUUAAAUGUCAAGUCAAUGUUCUUAAAUGGUUUUCUGCUAGAGAAGAUUUAUGUAGACCAACAAAAAAGCUAUGUAAAACAAAAAGAAGAAGACAAGGUCUAUCUUUUUAAAAAGGCACUUACGGAUUGAAGCAAGCUCUAAGAGCUUGGUACAACAAGAUUGAUAAACAUUUGCAAAACUUGGGAUUUAUUAAAAGCUUAUCUAAAUCAACAUUAUAUAUCUAGCACAAUAGAGCUGACAUUAUUAUUAUCUCACUAUAUGUGGAUGACUUGCUUGUGACAAAAAAUAAUAUAAGUAUUGUGGAAAAGUUUAAACAAGAGAUGAUAGAGUUUUUUGAGAUGAUAGAUCUCAGAUUAAUGAUCUUUUUUCUUAAAAUGGAAAUUAAAUAGAAUGAACAUAAAGUCUUCAUCUAUAAAAAAAAAUAUAUGUCAAUGAGAUUUUGAAGAAGUUUAAACUUGAAGAAUGUAAAAAAAUGAGCUCACCAAUUAAUUCAAAAGAAAAGCUCUAUAAAAAAGAUGAAACAGAAAAGAUUAAUCAAGCAUAUUUUAGAAGCUUAAUUGGUUACUUAAUGUAUCUCAUAGUAACUCAGCUUGAUAUUUUGAAUGUUAUAAGCAUUUUGUCUCAGUUUAUGCACUAUGCAAAUGAAUGGCGUCUCAAAGCUACAAAGAGGGUGCUUAGAUAUGUGAAAAGCACAUGUGAUUUUGGCAUUAAAUACACAAAGGGCAAAGAAUUCAAGUCGGUUGGUUUCUUAAAUAGUGAUUGAAAGGGUUUUAUUAAAGAUAUGAAGAGCACUUCAGGUCACUGUUUCACUCUUAGUUUUAGUAUUUUCUCAUAAAGCUCAAAAAAAUAAGAAAUUAUAGCUUAAUCCACAGCUGAAGCAGAGUUUGUUACUACAACAGCUGCUGUUAAUCAAGCUUUGUAGCUGAGAAAGAUUUUAAUUAAUCUUAACUUUAAUCGAUCUUAACUUAGAGCAGAAGAAAAACAUGGAGAUUCUUAUUGACAACUAAGUUGCUAUUGCUAUCUCUUAAAAUCCUGUGUUUCACUGAAAAACUAAGCAUUUAAAUAUUAAGUUAUUCUUCUUAAUAGAAGUAUAGAAAGAUAGAGUUGUUCUUGUCUAUUGCAAAAUAGAAGAUCAUGUUACAGAUGUUUUCACCAAGCCACUGUCGUUAGCAAGUUCGAAUUUCUAAGGAUAAAACUUGAUGUUUGCAGCUCCUAAAGUAAGGAAGAGUGUUAAAAGAUGUGUUUAGGACUGUUAAUAUAGAUUCAUAAAUGUUGUUUACUUGAAUGUUUUAAAUUGUUCCUGUUUUUUUAUGUUAGUUAAUUUUUUGUUAUUCAUGUUUGUGGUAAUGGCGUAAUCUUAGGACCAUAAUUUUAGUAAGUCAUUAUUAAUUAAGCUUUAUAUUGUAAUGUUUCUUAUGUUAAGUGAAAUUAAGUUUUUUUUGCUCCAAAAUACAUUGCUCUCAAUUUCCAUUUGCCUUUACUAUAGUAAUACUCUGUUUUUUUUUUCUUAUUAAAAAAUAACAACAAUCUACUUGUUUUAAUUAAAUUUAAGUUAGGACAUCUAUUGUCAAAAAAGUAUAAAGAGUGGUUAGGAUACCUCAUUUUGCCUUUCUUAUUAUUUUUUGGCAUGCAUGUUUUAUUCUAAGGUUCUCUAACCAAAGUGGGAAACUAACAUUUAAUAAAUAAUUUAUUUUUUAAUAAUAAUAAUAACAAUAAUAAUAGAUUUCAUAAAUAAGAUUAUAAAUGUAAAGUAAAACUUAGUUAAAUUCUUUAAAUCAAAUUAGAAGAGUUUGUAUUAAAUAAAAAUUAAAAUCCAAAUCUAAACUAUGAACUGAAAGAAAAAAAAGUUUGUAAGAUUUGUUAGCAAUAUGAACCAAGUCAACUUAAUUUCGAAAAUCCAAACCAAUUGAAAUUCUAAUGAAUUGUAACAUUUUACCUCAAGGAGUUUAAGGUUGACACCAUUGCAGCACCAUUUUGGAAGGGUUUAUCUUGCAAAUUAUAUCCCUUCAUAGCUUUUUGAAAACAAUUGCUUUUUCAUUACAUCAUGUAAUCUACAAGAAAGCUCAAUCCUCAGCUCAUCAAAACCCAAAUCCUACUUCUCCAGUAUUUCCAAAGCACCUAUUUAUAUACUAAAAGCACGUAAUAUAUAAAAAUCAAAGCUGUCCCCUUAAGUAUUCUCCAUCAAUUCCAGUAAUGUUUUAUAACUCUUUGUAUUGAUUGGCCUUAACUCCAACCUAGGGGUGUAAUUGAGUCGAGUCGAGCCAAUACAGUGAAAGCUCAAGCUUGACUCCCAACUCGUGGCUCGAUACUUAGCUCGAACUCGAUCGAGUUUCAUUUUCCUAGCUCGAGCUUGAUUCGUGAUCAAAAUCAAGCUACUUGAGCUCACUUGAUAAGACUCGAUUCAUAUAUUUGAUAAAAACUUAAUUAUUGGUGCUCGAAGUUUGAGCUCGAGCUCGAGUUUAAGAUCUUUUAUAACUGUUUUUAAUCAAACCUAAUAAAUAUUAUACUUUCAAGAUAAUAACAAUAAUAAUAGCAACAAUAAUAAUAAUAAUAACUUACACAACAACUAAAUUCAAACAAAUAAAAGUCUCAUCAAAUGAUUCAAAUACAACAUACAAAUAAAAGACAUAAUGAAACUUAGAAACUAAAGUCCUAAUUGAAAGAAAUUAAAUAUCCAAGCAAAUAAGUCCACAAAUAAGUUACAACAAACCAACAACAAUACAUAUGCUGCCUUCAUAAUAUUAUGUCUUCAAAUGAACAUUGGGCUCAUAUUGUUUUUCAACAAACUUACACAAAAGAAUAAUUACAAAACAAACAAAUUAUAAUUAACAAUAAGAAUACUAGUAGAAGCACCCAUGUAAAAAAGAGAUUGUGAUAUCAUUGCAAUGAUCAAUAACUUUAAAAUUUUAACAUUAACAUUAAAAUUAACAUGAUUGUAUCUUGUCAAUUGCCUUAUAAUCAAAGCAGAAAAUAUGAUAUUAUCUUGUCAAUUACCAUAACAUGAGUAUCUAUCAUUAGUUAACCUAUAGUUCGUAAACUAUAAUGCAAAAAACUCAAUCUAGACUAGCUACCACAUAUUUUUCUUUAGUGAAUGUUGUAACAAAUUAAAGGUAUUUAGCAAUAAUAUUUCAUACCUAUAUAGAAGACAUUAGAUAUCUUUAUUUUAGGAGAUUUUGAGUGCAAUCUCAAUAGAUUUCUUCUCUUUCUAUUUAGAUAAUGUAAAGAAAAAUAAUAGUUAAAAAUUAGAUUAAAAUAAUGAUAAUCACCCAAUAACAAAAUAAUAAAAAAAAAACUCACUUUGUUAUUCUUCUUCACUUCAUGAAGAUUUCGACACCAAUCUCUUUCACAAAAUAAUGCUUGCACUGUGUCAGGAGCUAAAUAAGCACAAUAAGUAUCAAUAACUCUACCUCUCAUACUAAAAGUAGCUUCUGAAACCACUGUAGUGAUAGGAAUAGCAAGUAUAUCUCGAGCCAUCUUGGAUAGAAUACGACACUUCAAAGUGCUCGCUUUCCACCAUUCUAAAGCAUCAAACUUAGUGAAAUCUUCUUUACAGAUAAAGCAACCCUCAGCUAGGCAGACAUCUAGAUUAGAUUGUUGUGGUUGAACAGUUUCAACUGAUUUUAUAUAAUUUGCAAAUUUAAACCAACCAGAGAAAAAAGUUUCUAUAUUAAUACCACUAUCAUGCACUUGAGUUUCAACACUAUGCUCAUUGCCAAAUUGAUACUCAAGAACAUGUUUUUCAUAAAUCUCAUAAAAAUCAUCUCGAACUCUAGCAAUAUUUUCUCUUGCUUCUCUAUCAGGUACAUUCGUGGAAAGAAAAACUCAACCACCCUCAUUUUACACCUUGGGUCCAAGAUAGCUGCUAUAGCCAUUAACAAAUUACAUUCUCUUCAAUACUUAUCAAAUUUACUCUUCAUCUUGCGAACUAUUUCUUGAACAAAUUCAUUUUCAUCAUUCAUCCUUUUAUCCAACAACAUUUUCACACGAUAAACUUUAUUUAGAAAUAGGUUUGAAGUUGGAUAAUCACUCCCAGAGAUGAUUUUAGUGACUAAAUUAAAAACUUCUAAAAUUUCAUAAACUUUCUCUACCUUUUCUCAAUCUUCAUGACUUUGACAACAUUCAUAAUGAUAUUUUUAUUCUUUAAGUCUUGGAAAACACACUUCUUUGAAUUUGAUUACAGUGGAUAAUAUCUCGAAUGUUGAAUUCCAACAUGUUUUAUAAUCAAGAAUGAGUUUCCUAUCAAACAACUGUAACUGCUAUACUAUGUCAGAAAAUUAGUUAAGUCUUGCCUCAUUCUGAUUAAUAAAAUUGACACUUUCAUGAACAUCAUCAAUUAUAUUCUUAAUAUCAGAAAGACCAUCUUGAACCAUGAGAUUUAAGAUGUGUGCACAACACCAAACAUGAAAUAAUUUUCUUUCACAAAGUAACCUUUUAUUUCUUGAAAAAAUAUCUUUAAAAAUUCUAAUAGCCACAUUAUUGCUUGAAGCAUUGUCUACAGAAAUUGUAAACACCUUAUUUUCAAUUUCCCAUUCCUUUAGACACUUAAAAAUACAAUCGAUAAUCUCAACACCGUGAUGAGAAGGAGGUAUGUGAACAAAGCUAAUAACACACUUUUGUAACUCUAAUUAGAAUCUAUAAAGUGUGCUAUAAGAACCAUGUACUUAAUCUUUUGAUUACUUGAUUUUCACAAAUCUGUCAUCAAACUAAUCUUGCUGACAGUCUUCAACAAUGCCUUUAACUUUUUUUUCUGCUUCAUACACUUGCAUGCAAUCUUUUUUAAUAGUACUGUGAUACAUUUUCCCAUUCAGGCAUCCCAUGUUUUUACAUCCCAUGUUUUUGCAUCAUGUUAAAACUUUCUUCUUUUAUAAUUGAAAAAAGAUGCUUGUGCAUGAGUAUCCAAUGUACAGUUGCCUCUUUCAUUUUUACCAUAUCAAACUUAUGAUCUGUGAGAGCAGGUAGUAUCUGUGCAUCACCAUAUGUCUCUACUGACUGGAAGUUGAUCGUUUGUUGUUGAUUCUGAAAAAUUUUUCACUUAACACAAGUUAUCAAGUAUCUCUUAAAUUGAUUUAUACUUUUACUUGCAUUUAUUGCUAACUUCUUCUUGCAAUGGACAUACUCUCUUUUUUAAAACCAUCAAAAAGAGUGACUUCUUUGAACUUCAAUCAAACAGUAAAUGUCUUUUACCUCUUUUUCUCAUUACAUUUCUCACACUCUUCAGGGUCAGCAUCAUCACAUUCUCUAUCAUUGGUAUCAAUGAUUGGUGUUUUAUUUGUGUUGCCAUCAUUGUCGUUGGUUGAACUAGUAUAAAAAAUAUAUCCGAUAUGAUUGAUGACAUGUUUAGUUCUCUAUAACAAAAAAAAAAGAUUAAUUAAAAUAAUAAUUAAAUUUUGGGAUCAAACAAUAAUGUCAAACAAAUUGUUAGAAACAUGUGCGAUAAAUUCUUUUGCGAGAAACAUGCCAAACAAGUUGCAAGAAACAAAUUAUUGGAUGAGUAUGGAAUUUAGCAGUAAAUGAUAACCAUUUAUGAGAAUUGCAAGCAAUAUACAUAGUUUUUUCCAUAUAUGACAAUUAUUAUUACAAUGUCUAUAAUUUCUUGAUCACAAGAGCUAGAUGGAAAGAAAUGCAAUGAUGUAUAUAGACAAAACAUAGAUAGAAUAAACCAAAUUAGUUUCAAUGUAUCCUUUAGUCAGCAAGAACCCUAUGUGAAUAACAUUGAUAGGAAAUGCAAAAGAGUCCAUCAAGGUUUGUCUAUUAGGAUAGGCAUAUGUAACAAGCUAUUUGGAAUACAACAAAAUGAAUAUUUUUUUAAGGAAAUUAUGCAGUGGACAUUUCCCAAUAUUGAUUCAUUUUUCUAUGGAUAAGUUUACAAUCUAAUGCAUGGCCAAACUGCAUUUAUAUUUUAGUGGACAGGUCAAGCCUAUAAACUUAAAGAAAUACUAAAUUAACAUAUGGGCUAAUCUUUUAAAACCCAGUUCACAGGUCCGAUUGUGAUUCAUAAUCGAACAUUACGUCCCCUAGACAUUCUGAUGGAAAGUUUAAUGCUGAGUUGAGCUGAAUGAAAGUAAUUUUUAAUUAUUUUUUUAUUUUGUUUUGGUUCAUAGUUGACUUUUUGUGUGAUGGAUCUGCGCAGAUUACAAGUGAUGGUUACAAGAAUGGUAGGGAAGUGAAUAGUACCUUAUGACAUUCAGGGAUAGAUGUAGACCCAUCAGGCAGGGAUAAUCAUUUUGUUCUUGGGAGAGGUGGUAACCAUUCUCAAGAACUAAAAAUAUUGAGCUGAAGAAAGCUCUGUGAUUCACUGAAAUAAUGGCAGAAGGGCAUAUGAAAUCAACAAAAAUCAAACAACGUCAACAAGGGGUUGGAUGACUAUUAGAAAACUAUAAGACAAACAGAGCAAGUGGAUCACGCUCAAAGACUUUCUCAUCAUCAUUUUUUGUACAAAAUUGCAUGGAUUACUACAUAAUCAAACACAAGAAAGAACUAUGGCUACAUCUAUAAAGUUCACUUACAAUGAAAAAUCCUUUUACAGUUAUGCAAAAAGGUAGCAGCUUGCUCCAACUUUGAUCUAUCUUGGAUUUUUUAACUUUAAUUUGUCUUAGAUUUGAAUUGACUCUGGAAACUAGCUUCGAAUAUUGAAAGAGAAUAGGAGGAAAGGUGUCGCAUGAAAUGAGAGAGACAAGGAGAAAGGGGAAAUGAAAAGAGGGAAAGAAGAAAAUAAAAUUUUUAGGUUUUUUAGGUUAAGGGUAAAAUAGUAAUUUUAUAAAUAAAAUAAUAAAAAAUAUAUAUAUAUAGAAAAGUUCGAUUAAGCUCAUGACCUAUUCGAGCUGGGUAUUAACAUACUCAAAUUUGACUCAUUCGAUAAGUCAAGCAACUCGAGCUCGACUUGACUCGAUAAUUAUCAAAUCGAAUUUAAAUUUUAAUCGAAUUGAAUCCAAGUAGCUUACGAGUACUAAUGUAUCAUUUACAGUCCUACUCCAGCCCAGUAUGUCCAAAACUGAAAACUCUGCUUGUGACCAUAUAGCCGCCAACUUGUCGAGCUCUUGACACCUCAUUUCCACCAUUCUACACCCUUUUUCUUUCAAAUAUUGAUAGAAAAUCUUUACAUCUAUGGAACCUGAAUGAUUCACUUCCAAAUCUAAACUUUUCAUAGACAAAUUAAAAAAGAGAUUUUUUCAUCUUUGUUUGACACUUUGUGGUCCAAACAUGGGAUGAGAACAAAUGAUGUGGAAAUUUCAUUAGGCAAGACAUCGAGGAGGAGGUUUUCGAUGAACUUUUUAAGGGAUAAAACAUCGACAAACAAUAUGGGUCACUUCAGUCUUUAUAAAAGAAGAGAUUUUAGGACUUGUUCGAUAGAGACAAUGGAAAUACAUAGGAGGAUGACAUCUGGGUGUUAUUCAUAAAGGUCAUUGAGGUUCGAAAAAAAAACUCUAAUAUGGGAAUAGUAGGAUCUCAAGUGGGUUAAAAUCGUGUGACCUUGAGCUACUAAGGUUUUAGCCAGGUACUAGCCAUAGAUGCCAAAGCCUAUGAUGACAAUCUUAUGGGUUGGAUUAAGAGUAGCAAUUAGUCAAGCAGGGUCAUGGGUAGGUUCUAAAAUCAAUGCGAAUGAGGAGGAAAAACACCUGACUUGAAAAAAUGUAAAUGAAAUGAAUUCAUAAGGAAAAAAUAUUCUAUCUUAUCCUAUUUAAAGUUAUAGCAUGUAUAUUAAUAUCAUGAGAGAGUAUAAGUACAUUUACACAUAACUAAAUAUACAACUAUUGAUAACAUAUUCUAAUACACCCCCUCAAGCAAUCGGGGAGAACUCCACAAAAACUUAUUCUUAAAUGGAUGAAAAUUAAGAAAGAAAGUCUUUUGAUAAAUAUAUCAACUAGUUGUGAUUGAAAACAAACAAAAGAGACUUGAAGAAAAUGUUUUCAAACAAGAUCUCGAACAAAGUAAUAAGAGGUCUCUAUAUAUUUUAUGCGAACAUGAAAGACUAGAUUGACAGCAAUUAGUAGAACCCAUAUUGUCAGAAUAUACAGAACAAGGUAGUGUAAAAGAAAACUCCAACCUUAUUCAAUAUAUAAGAAAUUCAAAGUAUAUCUUAAAAAGCAAUAGAAAUAGCCAUAUACUCUAUUUUAGUACUAGUUUGAGUAACAGAAACUUGCUUUUUAGUACACUAAGAAACAAAAUUGGAACCUAAAAAAAUUCAGUGACCCAUUGUCAACUAUCUAGUGUCUAGACAAACAAUCCAAUCAGCAUCAACAUAGCAUACCAAAUUUGGUAUGGUGUAAGGAAGUAAACAAAUAUCACAAUUAAUAGUUCCUUUAAGAUAUCUUAAGAUUUGUUUCAUUGCCUAAAAAUGAAUAUCACAAGACGCAUACAUAAAUUGACAAAUUUGUUACAUAGCAGAGGUAAUGUCAGGUCUAGUAAAGGUAAGAUAUUGCAAAGCUUCAACAAUAAUAUGAUAUUGUGAUAGGUCUGAAAGUAAAGUUUCAUCAUAGAAAAAAAGCUUUUUAUCAGCAGCUACUAAUGUAGAAGUAGGUUUACAAUUUUUCAUACCCAAACGUAAAAGUAGAGACAACACAUAUUUUGUGUGUGUCAAAAACAAAUAUUUAGGUGUACAAUGUGCCUCUAUUCCAAGAAAAUAAUGAAGAUCACUGAGAUCUUUCAUUAAAAAUUAUGAAAAGCUAUGAAAUGAAUGAAUAACACUUAAUUAAGAGCCAAUGAGAAUGAUGUCAUCCGCAUAAAAUAAAAGUAAUAACAUGUCAGAUGAAAAUGCCAUAUGAAUAUAAAAGGAUCUAUUUUACUUUUUUAAACCAAAGGCAUGAAAAACAAAACUAAAUCUUUGAAACCAAGCUUGUAGAGCUUGGCAAAGACAUAAAGAGAGUAAUGUAAUUUACAAACAUGAUGAAGAUGAUUAGGGUCCACAAACUCUGGUGUUUAUGCCAUAUAAACUUCUUCAUGCAACUUGCCAUGUAAAAAUACAUUUUUAACAUCUAAUUACUUGAUGGACCAUCCUCUACUAAUAGCAAUAAAAAGAACAAUUCGAAUAGUGAUGGCCUUAACAACAAGGCUAAAGGUGGUGUCAAAGUCAAUAUUUUUUAAUUGUGUGAAGCUUUUGGCAACUAAUUUUACUUUAUAUCGCUCAAUGGUACUAUCAGCUCACUUUUUGAUUUUAUAGAUCCAAUGACAACCAACAACAUUCAUGGAUGAAUUACAAGACACUAAAUACCAAGUAUUAUUUUGCAUCAAAAUAGAAUAUUUAUCAUUCAUAGCUAAAAUCUAUUUUUCAUCUUGACAUGCUUCUUUUAAAGAUCUUGGCUCAAAAGAUGGAUAAUUUGUAGCAUAUAAAGAGUAUGGUAUUUUGGGCCCUCAAGUACAAUCUUGAUCUCUUAUAACCAUAGAAUGUAUAGUUCUAAAACUAGAAAAAGUGGAAAGUUCAUAUGAUAAUUGAGCAGAAGAUGCCAACACAGUUGUAUCAAGUUAAGAAACAGUUGUGUUUGGAAUUAAAGCAUUUAGUAAUGGUUCUUACAUAAUUGUAGUAUGAGGUAUAGGUAGAAAUACCUCAGGAGAUAUAAAAAAGUCAAUGGGAUGAGAAAAAAUCUCAAGAGCUGUAGAAACAAAACAUUUUACAAAAAAAAAAAGUAAUUUUCAUUAAAGACAACAUGCUAUGAGAUAUAAACCCAACCAUUAAAGAGGUCUAAACAACGAUAUCUUUUAUGGACUAAACUAUAACCUAAGAAGAUACAACGAGUGGAUUUUGAGGAAAGCUUAUUUUUUUUAUAAGGAACUAAAUAAAGAUAACAAGCACAUCCAAAAACUCUCAAAUAAUUAUAGUAUGACACACAGAGUUAAAUAACACCUCAAAAGGAGAAUGAUUACCUAAAACUAAUGUAAAAAGCCGAUUGAUAAGAUAAACAGCUAUAGAAAAUGCCUUAAGCCAAAGAGAUCAUGGUAAAGAAGCUUGAAACAAUAGAGUCAAGCCCAUUUUUUCAAUAUGUCUAUGUUUUCGUUCUACUAAACUAUUUUGUUCAUGGAUAUAUGGAUAAGAAAUUCAAAGAGAAAUAUCAUAGUGAUUAAUAAGAUUUUUAAAAUCACCCUUAACAAGCUUAUUAGCUCCAUCACAUUGAAAAAUUUUGAUUUUAUUGCCAAAUUAAUUUUCAGCCAUAGUUUUAAAAUUCUUAAAAUAAGUAACACUAUCAGAAUGGUAUUUCAAUGGAUAAAACCAAGUAUAACGACUGAAAUCACCUAUAAAAAUAAAUAAUAGCAAAAACCAAUAAUAGUAGCAGUGGGCAAUAGCCCCCAAAAAUCAAAAUGAAUUGAUUCAAUAACAUUAAAAGUUAUCUUAGUAGAUAAAGCAAAAAGCAAACGUUUACUUUUUUCUGCUUGACAAGCUAUACAAGUUAAGUUAAAAAAAAAAUCCUUAAGUAGAUAAACUUAUUAGAUUUAGUUUGUGCUAUAAUCUUGUUAGCUGGAUGUCCAAGUCAUCGAUGCCAAAUUAUUCCAUAAACUAAAAAAGAACUGCCAUUGAAUAAAGCUUGUUGGUUGCAUUGCCUUACACUAAUGAAUCACUCCAUAUCUCUUAUAGAAAUCAUGUAAAGGUUGCCUUUAAAUGGUCUAUCCAAAAAUACAUUUCCCAUGCGAAGAUCUUUAAUAACAAAACCCUAAGAAAAAUAAUAGAAACCAUAGUUAUUAUCUCUGGUUAGCUUAGUAAUAGAAUAUUUUUCAAUGCUAAUUUUGUAGAACCAAGACAUAUAGUGAAAUCACCAAUACUAGUGAUGUUUAGAGAAUUACCAUCACUAAUAAAAACACAUUCAUUGCCAGCAUAAGGAGUGGACUGAUGUACCAAUGAUGGAAUGAAAGUCAUGUGACUAGUAGCAGCUGAAUCUGUUAGCCAAUAGGCAUCAUUGUCAUUGUCCAUUGGAGUAUUCAAUGGAGAAUCAUUUGAAGUAGUAGUAAAAAGAUAAAAACCAGUAAAAGAACUGUUCAAACUAUGGUCAAAUUUAUUGCAGCGACAUUGAUAUGUUACAGCAGUAUGGUUGAAUUGGUGACAAAUUUGUCACUUUAUGACACGGUUACAUGUUGAGAACAUGAAAAGUUCCCAUUAUCUUGGUUAUUUGAUUGAAAGUCUUGUUGAGGCAUAUAAUUUAUGUGAGGAAAAGAUCGAGAAUCACAAUAAUCAUACCUUUGAUUAAUCUGUCCAGUGCAUUAAAAUCAUGUUAAGGAUUAUUAAAGCGCUGACCUCAACUAUUUGGGUGAGUUACCAUGACUGUCUCAUGGGAACUAAAAAUGGCAUUCAUAGGUUAUGAUAACAAUACUUGUAUUAUUUUCAAGCGUUACUCAUGAACUAAUAAUCGUGCUUUUAAAUCAUUAAAGAAAAUGAGAUUCUCUCUAUUUUCAAUAGCAAAAACAACUAGUUGAUAUUCAAAGAAAUUUGAUAGUCCAUUCAAAGUACGAGUGACCAAUUCUAAAUCAGAGAUAAGAUGAUUUAUGGCUAUUAAAUUAUUAUAAAUAGAUUUGUUCUUGGUAAGAUAUUCUUCAAUAGACAUAGUUCCUUUACUCAAACUCUACAACUCAACACGUAACAGAUCUAACUUUGCUUGACAUUGGUAAUGAAAAAUAGUUUCUAUAGUUAUCCAAACCUAGUGAGAAGAUGACAAACUCAGAACCUGUGCUUGUGCACUUGGAGACAAUAUUGCCUUCAAAUAGGAGAGAACAAAUUUAUUCUUCUUCACCCACUCUGUAUAUGAAGAAUUGGAUGAGGUUUCAUUAUCUUUGGUUAUUGUUUUAGGAGGAGGUGCAAUGGUAUCAUCAACAUGCUUCAUUAAAUUACUGCAUAAUAAAAAAAAUGUUAUCUGAUCAUGCCAAAGCAAAUAAUUUUUUGAGUUCCAGUUAAUGAAGAUAAGGUUAAAAAUAUUGGGAAAGAAAAAAGACAAUAUGAAAGAGGAUUGGUUGUUAAAAGCCAUUAGAAAGUUUAAGAAAUAAUAUAUUAUAAAAAAAAUUGUUGGAGUAAAAUAAUAAAAAGUAAUUGUUUUAAAUGUGAGAAGAAGAUAAAUAUUUGUAUCAGAAUUAAAGAUGAAAAAAAAAAAAAAGGUGCCACUCUAAUACUAUGAAACAAAUUUAUAAAGAACAAAUGUUCUACCUAUUCCAUUUAGUGUUAUGAUAUGUAUAUUUAUAUCAUGAGAAAGUAAAUGAAUUUUUGUUCAUAUUAAAAAUAAUUAAAGGAUGUUUUUUUUAUAAUUUAAUUUUUAAAUUUUUUUUUUGGUUAUAAAGUUUCAAAGAAUUAAAACACUUCCACAUUUUCUCUUAUGUGCUAAAAAACAUGCUAAUUUAAUUUGUUUCAAUUAAUUUAAAUUUGAAUAGAAAAAAUUCGGUUUGAUUUUAUUUUUGAAGCUUUUUAAAUUAAACCCAAUUUGAGGAUCAAAUAUGUACCAAAAAGUAGUUGAAGAUCGACUUACAAAAAAAAUUUUACUACUAUAUCAUUUUAUACGUAACUAUACUUAGAUAAAUAUUUAUCCUUAUUUGUACCUUUGAACUCUUUUAUAUCUUAAUAAUUUGUAUUUGAUUCAAAUGUAAUUCGACCAUUUUACAUUAUUGUGAAAUUGUUUAAUUGUGUAGAUGUACUUCUCUUAGACUUCUAUCAUUUAUAUGGCUUGAACAAAUUAUAUAUAUAUAUAUAUAUAUGAAAUUCAAAUUGAAAUAUAUGGUAGACCAUGAAUUUCAUAUUUUCCACCUUUGGUAAAUGUCAACCCUCAUUUCAAUAGCUCUUUUCUUACUUUUCUAUUUGUGUUACUGUUUUUUUUUUUUAAUUAUUCUGGUGGGCUAAGCUUAUUUCUUGGAGAAAAAACAAAGAUUAAAAAGAUUUUUUUUUAAUGCGGUUGACGAUGCCUAACAAAGGCCCUUUUUUCCAUGAUUGAAUAUAUAUGGUAGCCCAAAGCAAAAGCCUGACAUUUUAAGGGAAAAGGGUUCCCCUAGAUUUAUCCAUGCUUAAUUCUAUCAUUUAACUAAUUGUACAAUCCAAACACAUGUCUAAAAUUUACCUUUUUUUUUUUUAAAGAGGAAGGAUCUAUUUACAUCGACGCAAAUUUUAUAUUUUAUAUUUUUGAAUCAAAAUUAUUAAAUUUAAAAAUAUUAUUUUGAUUCAAAUGAGUUAUAAAUUUAAUUUGAUUCAAAAAUAAAAUAUAUAUAUGAAUUAUAUUAAUAUAAGUGGAUGUUUAUUUUUGAGAAAUAAAGAACAACUAUGUAUUUCAAGAAAUAAGUGAACCUUAAUUAUUUAAAAGAAAAACUCUUAAAAAUAAAAUUCAAGUUUCGAAAAGUCAAGAGAAAUAAGAGAAAAUUACAUGUAUUUAUCAUUAUUAUUAUUUUUUAUAAAGAAAUUCUAUGAAAGUCGAGGAAAUAAGCCAAAUACUUGCGUAAACGAAACAUACAGGCACAUCCCAUUAAAGCAAAUGCACUUAUAAUUGAAGCAAAUGUUGAUGCGUAACACGUUUGAGUUCUACAAAUCAUAUUAUUGUUAUUUCUGCUGAUGGCUGAGAUUUCUAGUGAGAUGGGUGGNNNNNNNNNNNNNNNNNNNNNNNNNNNNNNNNNNNNNNNNNNNNNNNNNNNNNNNNNNNNNNNNNNNNNNNNNNNNNNNNNNNNNNNNNNNNNNNNNNNNNNNNNNNNNNNNNNNNNNNNNNNNNNNNNNNNNNNNNNNNNNNNNNNNNNNNNNNNNNNNNNNNNNNNNNNNNNNNNNNNNNNNNNNNNNNNNNNNNNNNNNNNNNNNNNNNNNNNNNNNNNNNNNNNNNNNNNNNNNNNNNNNNNNNNNNNNNNNNNNNNNNNNNNNNNNNNNNNNNNNNNNNNNNNNNNNNNNNNNNNNNNNNNNNNNNNNNNNNNNNNNNNNNNNNNNNNNNNNNNNNNNNNNNNNNNNNNNNNNNNNNNNNNNNNNNNNNNNNNNNNNNNNNNNNNNNNNNNNNNNNNNNNNNNNNNNNNNNNNNNNNNNNNNNNNNNNNNNNNNNNNNNNNNNNNNNNNNNNNNNNNNNNNNNNNNNNNNNNNNNNNNNNNNNNNNNNNNNNNNNNNNNNNNNNNNNNNNNNNNNNNNNNNNNNNNNNNNNNNNNNNNNNNNNNNNNNNNNNNNNNNNNNNNNNNNNNNNNNNNNNNNNNNNNNNNNNNNNNNNNNNNNNNNNNNNNNNNNNNNNNNNNNNNNNNNNNNNNNNNNNNNNNNNNNNNNNNNNNNNNNNNNNNNNNNNNNNNNNNNNNNNNNNNNNNNNNNNNNNNNNNNNNNNNNNNNNNNNNNNNNNNNNNNNNNNNNNNNNNNNNNNNNNNNNNNNNNNNNNNNNNNNNNNNNNNNNNNNNNNNNNNNNNNNNNNNNNNNNNNNNNNNNNNNNNNNNNNNNNNNNNNNNNNNNNNNNNNNNNNNNNNNNNNNNNNNNNNNNNNNNNNNNNNNNNNNNNNNNNNNNNNNNNNNNNNNNNNNNNNNNNNNNNNNNNNNNNNNNNNNNNNNNNNNNNNNNNNNNNNNNNNNNNNNNNNNNNNNNNNNNNNNNNNNNNNNNNNNNNNNNNNNNNNNNNNNNNNNNNNNCAACUCUUCUGCUGCUCAGCGCCAUUACAAUCUUGGGCGUUCAAUAUUUUUAAAACGAUCACGCCAUUACCAUGGCCAUCACUACUCACGCCGAAACUCUGGCAGCCUUGCUAAUCCUUCAACAUCUCGUGGCAAGAUUAGUCCUUUACAUGAGGAGAGAUUAUCCUUCAAGUUUACUCAAUACAACCCAGAGUCUGGACGCCAUGCAGGUUGUGAGCAUCUUUUAUUGGUUUUCAUGCAAAGCAUCUGUUUGUUCCAUAGCAUGUGACAGUGGGAAAUGAAUUUUUAUAUCAUCAAGAUCAUUACAUGAAUGGUAAAACAAGAUAAUAGGACUGAUAGCCAACUUAACAUGAAAACAAACUCUUGGCAAAAUUAAGGAAGUUGUGUUUUUUCUUUGUUUAGAGAAUUAAAGAAUUGGAUUAUUUGAGCUUCAAAAGAAGUGGUGUUAGUUUGACUUCAUUGAUGUUAGUUUCAGUCUCAGCCUCUUUUGUAGCUUAAAUUUAGAAAUUUCAAUGUCCUCUCCAUAUGGUUUGCCAUGUUGACUUCAGUGUUCCAACUUUUGCAGAUGGUAGGGAAAAUGCAUUUGGCAGGCCAGAAAGGAUUAGGUCUAGUUCGCUGGUGAUGGAUGCAGUAUCACCUGACAAGGUGAAGAUGAUUUGUGGCUUAUGUCAGAAGCAUUUGAGACGGAAACCUUAUUUUCUCGGAAAUAUGCUGGCUUCUGGUGAAUUCUCUGUUGUGGCAGUGCUAGUUUGUGGGCAUGUAUAUCAUGCAGAUUGUUUGGAAGGAAGAACAAGUCUUGAGGAUAGGCGUGACCCGCCAUGUCUUCUAUGUUCAGGUUCACCAUCACAAGUUUGAUGCUUUUACUUUCUAGCAGAAAGAAGUGAUUGUUCAUACAGAUGUCGACACAUUUAUAUAUAUGAUACUGAAGUAUAGGACAUACUUAAUUGGGGCAUAAAUGUAGGCUGUUAUGAUCUAAGCUGAAGCUUUACGGAUUAGUAUCUUAACCAUGCAUUGUAUUGCUAAAUUAAAGCUAGUUGAAGCCGUGAAGGCUUGAAAAUGCUCUGCCCGUACCUUGAACCUUUUUAACUUGGCAGGCACGGAGGAGCAGGAUCGGUUUUCUUAAAGGGCCUUUUACUUUGGGUGGAGUUAUCUUUAAAUUCUUGCUGUUCUCAUGUUGGGGUUGUCUUAAAAUUUUGCAUUAUUUUGUUUGCCCUUCCUUCUCAAAAUGAGGUUCUGAUCACAUACUUAGCUUUGGUUUUGUCCAACAAAAUUUGUUCCUAGACUGCCUUCAUGAACCUAGAAUUUAGGACAAAAUUGCACUUUGCCAUUAUAGUUGAGAAACCAUAAAAGUACAACUAAUAUAAUGAAAUAAUAUAACUUUUAGGGAUGGAAAUGAACCGAGGAAUAUGAAUGAAUUUUGUUAUGUUUGUGAGCUGUUUGUUUAAUUAAUGAAUUUUGAAAUAUUAUUUGUGAUUGUUUGUUAUAUUUAAUAAAUGAAAAUAUUAUUCAUGAUUGAUUAUUAAAUUUAAUAAAUAAAUAAAAAAGAAAAGGAAGGAAUGAAAUAAUUUAUUAAGGGAUUUAAAAUAAUGUUGAAAAAUUAGAACAAGAAUAGUAUUUUUAACAAAAAUUGCAUACCUUUUUGUUAUAAGAGCACGUGAAGAUAAAAAAAAAAAUCAUCUAUAAUUAUUAUAAUAUAAUUAACUAAUCAUAUUUCAGAAUUUUGUGAGAUUUAUGAAAAUUUUAUAUUGAAUCACAUUUAUAAAUGGUAGGCUCUUAUGUAAUUUUGAUCUGUGAUUGAAGAGUUAUUAUAUUAUAAUAAAAAAAAUUUUCAGGUAAAAUAUACCCCAAAAAAAUCCUGGAUUGUUUACUACUAAGACUUUCUUUGUAGAUAUUAAACAAAAAAUAAAAUAUACCAAUCCCAGAAUUUUUUAGGUCCAAAAUCCAUUUUCAAUUGGGAUGGUUUAAAAAAGGAGGGUUUGUUGAUCGAUAAAAAGAAGAGACUGGCCUUGGCUAGAUAGUCGGUUUGCUGGUAAUGUAAUGUACGGAUCAAAAUUCAAUCUCUGACAUUGUUGAAUAAAAAAAAUAUUGGUAUUCGGUAACAAAGAGUGUGUGCAGUAUCUGUCUGUCUGUGACUAUUGCUUUAUCUCAUGCAAAGAGUGGCGGAUUUCAGGAGUGUAGCACAGUGGCAUUGAUGAAUGAGAACGGCUUAGUAGUAAGGCAACCCAGUUAAAUGCUGCUUAUUAAUCAUGGCAGAAUCCAUAGAAACAGUUAAAACUCGCUACUAGAUGUCUUUUAACUCUUCAAAAUGGGUUUUAGUAAUAAUGAUAAGAUUGGAACAAAGUCUUAACUAAUUUAGCCUAAUACAUUAAUGCAACUUUUUUAAUAACAAGACACGUCAGUCAUGGUGUAUGCAAAUGCAGAUGUCAUCGAGAUUGCUACUCAAGAGUAAGUGGAAAUAAUCUUAUUGAAGUAUCUAUCCAUAAAAGCUAUACAGCGUGAUACGUGUGUAUCUAUAAGGUUUCCUUGCAUGUAGCCUUAUUAUGCCCGACUCCCUUACACCUAGUGCAACAGACUGAUCUUCUGAUAAUUCCCUGGCUUUUGGUUCUUCUUAAUUUCUUCUGUUGGCCUAAUGGCCGUGAGAUGCAUGGAGGCAUAAUCUGCAUCUGCUUGUCAUUUUCUAAGGGAUCCUUUUCAUUUCCACUGGGCUGAACAAUGGUCGAAGCAGGGUUUAUGCUUUCAGAGUAUGCUGAUCGGAAGCUAUCAGCUGUAAAGUAUUUUGAACAGUAAUCAUAUACGCUCCUUCUUGUGCAGUUAAAGACGGCAAUAGCAUGACGGCAAGGAAGCCCAAAUGAUUCCCACAUCGCACAACUGCAGUGUCGUUUAUCAAUAUCCACAACGUUAAUGGAAUUAUCAUGAACUUCAAAUAGGGUCUCAGAUGAGAAUAAUACUUUGAGGCCACAUGCUUUUGCACAUUCUUCCUGUACCUUCUCCUGCUUAGAUGGAGUAAGUUUUGUGGACCACUUACCUGAUUCCAUUCGACGACCAUUCAUUAACUCCAUUAUUUUACAUCUUAGUAAUUCUACCUUUGGUAUGAUGGGAAGUUCUCGUGCUUCCUCUAUCCACUUAGCAUAUGACUCUGCAAUGUCAAGUGUUAUGUGAUUAAAGUGCUCACCCUUGAAAAAUGCAUUUGCCCAGUAUUCAGGCUCAUUCUGCAUGAUCCAAUCAUAAGCAUUUAAAGAAACCCGUUUAAUUUGCUCAGUAUACAUCCUAAACCCAUCAAGUCGGACUGCUUUGGCUGCAGCUAAGAAACUUCCAGGCAAUGAAGCCCUCCCUUCUCCAUGGAAUGGACCCUUCAAGUUUUGUAUGAAGCUGUCCAUCAAGUAGUAUAUCGAGUAACCAUGGUGAGCAUUCUCAAAUAUUUCCAGCACAUGCUUCGUUAAUCCCUUAUCUCUAUCAGAGACAAAGGUUAUAGAACGAGAAGUUGACACCGCAGAUUUCAACUGCUCCAAAAACCAAUGCCAACUGUCAUCAUUCUCAAUAUCUACUAGAGCAAAUGCAACAGGGAAAAUCCCAUCAUCACCAUCUAGUGCAGUGGCUGUGAGCAAAAUUUCAUGGAAUUUUGAUUUCAAAGGGAUGGCCUCAAGGAACAGAAGCGGACGACAACCAUUUUGGAAACCACAAAUUGUAGCAUGAAAGGAUAGAAAAAGAUGCUGAAAUUUUCUAUCAUCUCCAAUGAGAAGCUUCAAUAUGCUACCAGGAUUAGCCUCUUCUAUCUUAUCACAGUACCAAGGCAACUGACCAUACGCCUCUUUGUAUGAACCCUGAAGUUGCUGCCGAGCAUAUUCAAUUCCACGCCAUACUUGUGUAUAGUUCAGCUCAAGCCCAAAAUCACGAAGAAUGCAAUUGGCAAUUUCUUUUGGUUUGUGACGUGGGCUAUCUCUUAACCUAUCCUUUAUAAUAUUCACCAACCAAUUUUUUGCCGGAGUAGCAGUCUUCCAAGAUUCCCCACCACAUGUAUGUGAUCUAUGUAAUUUUUUAAUCCUAAACACACAGGCAGAUGGGACCCAAGAUGCGUGAAUCCUCCAAGGACAACCUUCUGCUGCACAUACGCCACUAGCACGGUUAGUAUCAUUCUUUCUUAAUUUAUAUGCAAAGCGAUGUGCAAUGGCAUAUUUCUGUAAAGCAUCACGAAAUUCUGCCACACUUUUAAAAUCCUGGCCUUCACCAGUAAUGCCAUUUUUCCAUGAGGCAACCAGUUUCCCAGGUGAACCUUCAUUAGAGUCACGGGGUGCAAAGUCAAAAUCAGCAUUAUCUAUCCAGGGUUCAAUAAGUUGCUCUGUGUUAUCAGCUAAUGCAGUGGGCUUGCGAUUCCUGGCAUUCUUUUUCUGGGAUGUAGUAUUUCGCAUCUCCUCAAGAUUGUCAGCAACAGUCACAAUAGUAAGACCAUUUGCACCACUUUUCCAGGAUGCAGUACGCCUCCGUUUCUUUACAGUAUCAGCAGGAGAAGCACUCAUAUCAAUUGUAUCUGUGCUAUGGGCAGUUGCAUCAGCAAUGCUAACCUCAAAAAGACCAUCACCAAUGCUACGGACAGCAGAGCGUUUUGAGGCAAUUGCUGCUCUGGUUGGGCUUCGGAUUGUUGCGUUGAAAGCUAUUACAGAGUCAAAAGUGGUUGCUAUAGCAACGGGAACAUCCUUCAGGCCAAUAGCAGAGGGAGCUACUUUGGAACUAGAAGGAUUAGUGGCAGCAGCUCGAGAAACGACAGUGGCAGUCACAGAUUCGGCUAGUUUUAUGCCACUUUGCCUGCGAGCGAUGACUAAUCUUAAUGCAACUUCACAUUUUGCAAUUUCCACGAUUAACCACUAUGCACAACAAUACUGAUGCACAUUCACAUUCAUCAAAGAAAAAGGACCAUUUCAGCUCAUUCUCAUCUUGCUAGCUGAUACAAUGACAAUGCAAUUCCCUAUAUUGUAAUGUGACUAAAUAUAGCUACAACAACAAAAAAUUCUAGAAGAUACUAAUAAUUGCAGGUAGAGAGAUAUUACCUGUUAGCAUGCAUGUCAAAAGCUACAGGAUCAAAGCCUUCUCUCCCUGUAAGGAAAACAUCUGCAGUCACUGAGUCCCCAUGAAAAUCAUACAUCCUUUUUAGGUCUUUGUCAUUAGACAAGGUAAUAAGAGUUCUCCUAUUUCUGGGGAGAAAAUACUUGAUGGACAAAGAUUUAUAAUCCAAGUUACAUGUUUCAGCUAAUUUGUAUUUGAGAUCAUCAAAUACUGUCUCAGGACUGAUAUCCAAGGCAUGUGCCUCUCCUCCAGCAUAUGACAAGGAUCCAUCAUCUUUUGUCACAAAUUUACCACCAGACUGGCAAAUCAAGAUCAGCUUCCCCCGCACCAUUCUAAAUCACUUCUGAGAAUUAAAUGAACAAAAAAUUUAAAAAUAUUUGACAUAAACUCAAAAGAUAAAUUACAUGUUUUAACGACAAAACUUUUUUACCAAGCCAAGUUUAAAAUCAUUACAAAUAGUAGAUGCCCUACAACCAUCAUUACAUCACUACCAUGCACAAGGCAAGUGAAAGAUUUGGGAGAAAUCCACCCAAACAUUACAAGUAUAAAUAGAAAAUUUCAAGUCUCCCUAUAAAACAACAGAUGCACAAGAGUUGGGAAUUCAGCUAAAGUCAAGAAUCCAACAAUGCUCAAUCUUUCUCAACUUAAGUGGAAGACAAAGAUUUUAAUUGACUGAUCAUCCAAACAUUCCUUAAAGGCUUCACACUACUGAAGCCUCAACAUCAGAGCAUGACAUUGUCUUAAACCAUCAAAGCAGGGGGACCCUCUUAAUAAUUUAUCAUUGGAUGAAAAAACAGCUAAGUGGGUUAUCAAUCCAAACUUAUUUCCAAGAUGAAAAAAGCUACCAAAAACCAAAUGGGUGAAUAUCCUCCGUUACUAGUCAGCUAAAAGAACAAUUUAAUCAAAGUCAACCCGACCUACGGUCAUGAUCAUCCAAUCAGUAAAAACCAAUCAAAAGCAAGAACCAUUAACAAACACCCACCAAUCUAAACAAGAAACCAAAUUAAAUUUUCGACUCAUCUUCGAGAAUUUCCAGUGCAUGCAAAAUGAUUAAAUAAAUUAACCUAAUUAAUGCAUGCAAACAAAAUAAAAUUAAAAAAGACAUUAGCAUUAAAAAGAGAAAAUUAUAGGUUUACAGAGAGAGUAAAGGUAAUUUACCAGAUUGAGAAAGUCGUUGGCUUGGAGAAGGAGGAGGAGAGAAACCCCCAAAUUUGGGUUUUUUUUUUUUUUUUUUUUUGAGCAAUUAGGAAAAAGAAGAGUGAGUUAUCGAAGUAAAGGAAAAGAGUGUGACGGAAAAUAAAAAAAAAAAUGGAAAUUGGGGGUUACGGUUGGAACAAGAAUAAAUUUGAAGGGGUUGUUUUGGAAUUUAAGGAAAAUAUAAUAUUACGAAGAAAAUUUUUAUUUACACGAUUUUUUCUCAAUUCACCCAUUUAUUAUAAAGAUGAUUGUUAUUUGCACUUUAAUAUUUAUUCAAUAUAUCCCAUUACUUUUAACAUUUUUAUUUUUUAUUCAUCACAUCUCAUACAUAAAAUUAAAAUUUAUUAAAAUAUCUAAACAUGUUAUUUUAAUGCAAUUCGAAGUUUUCGAAAAUAAAUUUUCCAAAAUUUUUAUAAAUUUUUAAAUAUAAAUAUUCAUAAGACUUUAAAAACUUUUAGAAAUGAAUUUUCAAAAAUAUUUAAAGGACAUUGGACAUUCAUUUCAAAAAAUCAACUUACUUGAAUACCAUUCUCAAAUUUUUAUUGCAGUAAUUAUUUUUUUCAAGUUUACUUUCAAUUUUGUUAGUAUAUAAAAUAUUAUAAAUUUGAUUGUAAUUUAACAACAAUAUAACUUGUUAAUGGGAAGAAGAAGAGUAGAAAAUUACUGCUAAUCUGGGAUGGGAAAAAAAAAAGGGGUGUCAAGAACAAAAAUAUAAUUGAACAAUAGAUAUUUAAAUAAUUUUAUUAAAGGUUAAAUUUGUAAUAGAAUUUUUGGAACAUAUCACAUAGUUAAUUGAGUGCAAAUAGAACUCCUCUACUAUAAAAGUAUUUUCACAUGAAAUUACAUAAUAAACCUUUAAUAAAUUAUUUUUAAUCUUUUCAUAUCUUUAUUUAUUAUCGGAUAUACAUUUUUUCAUAAAUAAAAAUAUAUACUGAAUAUGCAUAUUCCAUAAUAUUAUUAUAUUAUUGGACUGCAUAUCUUAUAACGUUAGGAACUUACCAAAAAUGAAAAUGACAUUUACCGAAAAUCCAAUAAUUAAAAUUACUUGUGUCCUUCUCCAUCUUCUCUUCAUUUUUUCUCCCAACGCCAAGGACCUCAUCCACCCGCCAUCUCCUCGCGCUUCCCUCCAAUCCCUCGAUGUAUUGACCAUCUAAAUGCACCCAAUUAAUUGCUCAUUACCCAUUUAACUACAGAAAACAGCAAUUUCCAUGGAAAUUGUAAGGUCAUAUUUAUGUUGCUUCCUUCCUUUAUUGGGAUCAAUUCAUAAGUCCAAUCUAAUCGAUGCUUCCGUUGCCAAAGAUACCUGGAAAGUCAGAAGAGCCCAUUGGCUUUCAUGGGAGGGGAGUUUGAAUUGAAUAAAACAGGGAAUUUACAAAUGUAAUAUGAUUAAUGAGAUUGACUGCUGAAGAGGAAAAUUAGGUUUUAAUUGUUUUAAUUUUGUUUUAUUUUCUUGUUAUCUUUCUCUGUGUUCCAUAGAAGUCCAUUGCAACCAUAGAACCGGAUUGGAAGGAAGCUUGUGGAAAUGGCGGGUGGAGGAUGUUCUUGGCGUUGGGGAAAAAUGAAGAGAAGACGGAGGAGGCUGGAGGGGAAAGUACGUAACUAAUUUUAAUUAUCGGAUAUCCAUAUAUGAUAAAUGUCCUUUGUUCUCCUAUAUGCAUAUCGGUAAGUUCUUAAUGUUAUCAUAUAUGCAUACAUGACACUGUAAUAAUAUUAUCAGAUAUACGUAUUAUUUAUUUAUUUUUAUUUAUAAAAAUGAAUAUUUAGUAGCAUAUAGAGAUAUUCAUGAAUCGUAUGAAAAUGAUUCAAGUUGGGUUUAUAUUUUAUAUUAAUAAUUUAUAUAUUUGCUCAAGUUUUAUUCAAUAUGAAAUUUUAAGUUUUAAAAUUUUCUCAAAUUUGAUCUAAAUUAAAAAAAUAAAUUUCAAACUUAUUCAUUAAACUUAAUUUAUAUAAUAAAAAUUAAAAAAUGUGAUUAAAUUAAGUUUAAUGAGAUUAUAUUUAAUUCUCAUACAUAUAAAAAUUAAAAAUAAAAAUUACAUAAAAAUAUAAAUUAAAUUUAAUAAAAUAUAUAUAAUUUUUAUUUUUAAUAGUUAUAUAUAUGAAUAAAUUUAUAUAUAAUUUACAUACAUAUAUAAAAAUAAAAAAUUUAUAUAUAAGUAGCUGCCUUGCACUAUAAAUCUUUUAUUUAAAACUCAGCUCGAAAUUUAAGAAAGCUUAAAAAUUAUACUCAAGCUUAUUUAAUGAGAUUUAAUUUUUUUGUUCAUAUCGUUUUAAAACUCGAACGAACCUUCAAGUUUGAAUAGGUAACUUGACUCUUGAACGGGUAUAGUAAUGAAUUAGUGUAUAAAAGAUUAAAAAAUAAUUUAUGAAAAAUUAAUUAUAUAAUUUUAUAUAAAAAUACUUUCAAAUAAAAAUAUUAGGUGUACUUAGAAAAAUAGAAGUGCAAAUAAAGGACUUUGAUAAAUAUUUUACGAAAGAAAUAAUUGUAUAAAACAAUUAUUUUGUAUUACUAUAUAUCUUUUUCAUUUAAAUCAUGUCAUAUAAUCAUAUUAAUAAAAAAUAUUAUUUAUUUAUUGCACAUUAUAUGUCAUAAUUAAAUGAUGAAUAUUAAUUUUAAUAAACUCAUGCAUGUAAUUUAUAUUAAAUGAUUGAUUUUUUUUUAUUAAUAUGAUUAUGUGAUAUGAAUUGAAUGAAAGAGAUACAUAUUGAUGUGGAAAAACUAUUUCAUGCAAUAAUUUCUUUUAGAGAAAGGGGAGUUUUGGGCACAUGAACAGGUGUUUGACCUUCUUUUAGGAUGGAACAUGUGGAUAAAUACCCUAAUUGACAAAAAAAAAAAAAAAAAAACAGAAAGAAAGAAUUUGAUAGACGUAAAACAUGAAUUAAUUUUUGAAUUUUUAAAAUUUUUUUAGAAGCGACAUAGGAAUUGAAUUUUGAAGACUUGAAUUAAAAAUUUAACAUUUUAUCAAUAAAUUACAUAAUUGUUAAUCUGAAAUUUCAUAUUUGGGAACAGAUCUUAUACUCCUAAAUUGAUUGGCAAUUUUACCAAAAUUUUAUAGAUCUUUUAGUAAAAAAAAAUCUCAACACUAUUUACAUUUACAUGGAUGAAUAAUAUGAAGAAUUAUAGUGAAAGUUUAGGUUUAUUUAGUGAUAUAAUAAAUCUUGUAUUUUAUUGAUUGAAAAUUUUAAACUUUAUAAAUGAUUUAUUCAUUAAUCUAUAUUAUUUAUAUAAUUUCUGACUAAAUUAGUGUCAAGAAUUUAAGUGACACCUUCAUACACUUUAGGCAGGAUUGCGUAAUAACCCUUCAUACACUUGGAGGAGUAUAUGCUCAGCCCGUGAGUAGUUAGAAAAAGGGGUAAGGUGGAGGACAGGGGAUGGAGGAAGAACCAGAAUUUGGAAAGAUAAGUGGACACCGUCAGCAAGCUCCUUCUUCGUCCAGUCACCGAGAUCAAGGCUAGGGGCAGACAGCUUGGUGAGGGAGCUCAUAGAUACUUCAAGGAAAUGCUGGAAUAAAGAGCUAAUCAACCAAAUCUUCUUGGCUGAUGAAGCAAAAAUUAUAUGCUCCAUUCCAAUAACAAGAACGGGAACGACAGAUCGGCUAGUGUGGCACUAUGACAACAAAGGCCAAUAUACAGUUAAGAGUGGCUACAAGGUAUUGUUAUACGAAAGAAACAAUGACCUUAGCCCAGGUACGACGAUAAAGACAACAAAAAGAUGUGGAAUGUUUUAUGGGCAGUAAACAUCCCAAGUAAAAUAAAAGCAUUAAUGUGGCGAGUAUAUCAUGGAUUCCUCCCUGUUAUGGUAAACUUACGUAGGAGGAGGUUAGAGGUGAACGGGACAUGUUUUAUAUGUGGAUCUUCGGACGAAACUGUUUUGCACACUAUUAGAACAUGCUCGCUUCCAAGCCAAGGAUGCCCUACGCAUGGAUCAAACAAGCCAGAGGUCAGAGGAGGAUAACGCAGCAUGGGUUGAAAACAUUUGUAUGUCAGGAGAUAAAGAAGUGGUACCAAUCUGCAUGAUCAUACCAUGGGCGAUAUGGACUGAGAGAAGCAAUGUUCUACACGGAGGAAAAAAGAGAAGCACGCAGGAACUGCUAACUUUAUUCAGAAAUAUACAGAGGAAGUGAAAGCAACGCAGAGUACGAGCGUAGCCUCCCAGUCCCCACAAUUGUGAUGGAAACCUCCCAUGAACAACACAGCCAAGGUUAAUUUCGACGGGGCUUUUAACCGACAAUUACAGAAGGGCGGGGCUGGUGUAGUGAUUCGAGACAACAUGGGAUUAGUGUUACUUGCAGCUGCUGUCCCAAUAGAUGAUGUAGGAGGACCGUUUCACGCUGAAGCCGAGGCAGCUUGCAGAGCGCUGGAUUUUGCAGUAGAAAUGGGGUUCACAAAAAUCUCUUUUGAAGGGGAUGCUCUGAGGAGGCUGGUUUGUCACCAGUGGGGACCAUCAUAGACGAUGCAAAGGAGAAAAUGAAGAAGUUCUAGGUCUGUCAAGUACUUCACAGUCCAAGAAAAUGUAAUCAGGUAGCACAUUUACUGGCAAAAAAUCGGCUAGAAGCUUUAGUUAGCAAGUUUUGGUUAGAAGAAUACCCUGAUUUCCUCUCUAAAGCUGUAUUAAACGAUUGUAAUGCAUGUUAUGAAUGAAAGAAUCGCAUCUUCAUAAAAAAAAAAAAAAGUGACACCAGUUCAGUUGAUGAAUUAUAAAACAGUUUUUUUUGUCACACCAAGUUCAUUCAACCUCAUUGAUUUAUGCAUAAUAUUUGACCCAUGUCAUAUUGAACACUUUAAACAAUGUCUAAUUCUAAUGUAUAACACUUGGGGGUAAAAAGAUUAAAAAAAAAAAAACGAAAAAUAAAGGUAAAUUGUCAAGGCUAAGGUCAUAUAAACUUAGAUCAAAUGUUAAAAAACGUGAAUUGAGACGCCAAUUAGGUCUUGACUCAGUGACAAUAAAGAGGUUUUAGAAUCUCAAAAUUUUAGAUUUAAAUUUCAUUAUGUAUUGGUUUGAUUGUUUAGUUAAGUUUUAAUUUAAUGAUAUAAUAAUUGAUUAUAGUGAAACUUAAAAAAAAAAAAAAAGAGAUUUGGACGAUGAUAUUAAAUUUUAGUGACGGGACUAAAUGCAUCCCUUCUUUUUUUUUCUCUCUAAAUCCCUUUUUUUUUAAAAAUUUUUAAGUGAAAUUUUUUAAAUAUCUUUCUCAUAAGUGUUCUGAAUAUCCUUAUUUAAUAAAUUUUAUAAUUUUUCUAAAAUAUAUUUUUCAAGAAGUGAAUUGUGAAAAAGUCAUAAUAGUGUGGAUUUUUUAAAAGUUAUCACACUCAUCGGAAAUGCAUUUUUGAGAGUGUAGGAAUUGAAAGUUUUUGAAAAAUUACAAAAAAGAUAAUUUUAUUAAAAUUUUUAUGAAGUAAUGUAAUAAAAAAAUUAAUAUUAAAAAAUUAUAAAUUUAAAAUUAAUAAAAAAUUUACAUUUGUUAUUUGAUUUUAAAAAAUAAAAUCUUAUGAAAUCUUAAUUAAAUUAAAGAUAAAAUAGUAAAUAUAAUUUUUUUAUAAAUUUAAAAUUUAUCAUUUUUAAUAAAUAUUUUUUUAUCAAUUUUUAAAAUUUAUAAUAGUUUUAACUAAAUUGAAUUUUUUGGAGAAAGUCUUUUCAUCAAUUUAUCGCGAUAGAUUUCUUCAAUUAAUAUAUUAGAUUUGAUAAAAUUAUAUAAUAUUCAGUAAUAUUACUUAUAUAAUUUUAAACAAUUUUUUACUUUAAUAUGUUGAUAAGAUAUGAUAGUUCUUUCAUUCUUCAUAAACAUCAAAAGAUGAAAUAUUAAAUUAGGGUCUUAUAAGAUUUUAUUCUUUUUAUAAUAUCAAAAUAAUAAAAGUAAAUUUUUAUCAAUUUUAAAAUUUAUGAUUUUUUAAUAUUAACUUUUUUUAUUACACUAAUGUAUAAAAAUUUAACCAAAUUCUCUUUUUUGUAAUUUUUUAAAAGCAUUCAUUCCUUCAUAUUUUCUAGAAGUGUCGUGAAGUGUUAUAAUUUUUCGAUAAUUUAUUUUUGAAAAAUUAUAAUAUUUUUUAAAAAUAUAUUUUUAAAAAAUUAUAAAAUUUAUCGAAUAUGAUAUUUAAAUAUUUGUGAGAAUAGUAUUAAAAUAAUUUCAUCUAUAAAAAUAUUUUUUAAAAAAAGUGAGAUGUAGAAAGAAAAAAUGAGGAUGUAUUUAGAUUUUUCAAAUUAUCUCUUGUGGAGUAUCAGUUUAAGCUUUUUAAUAAAGGUUAGUAUACAGUAUGCUAUAAUAUACAUAAAAGGAUCAAAAGAGUUUUUAAAUAAAAAUUAAAUAAUUAUUUAUCCAUUUGAUAUUUUAUUGAAAUUAAUUUUAUUUUGAAUUAUAAAUUUUUAAAUAUUUAUUUUUACUCAAUUAAAUUAUUAAUUAGACGAAACAAUUAAUCAUUUUUAUUUUAACAAAACCAAAUUAAUAAAAAUAAAUAUUUAAAAAUUUAAUUAAUUUGAAAAAUCUUUAAAAAUUUUGAUAAUUAUUAAAUUUUAAUUCAAAGAUAUUUUGACUUUUUUUUAUCUAUAAUAUGGUAUAACAAAAAAGUUAAUUAUGUAUAGAGAUAAUAACGAGUUGAAUUGAGAUAAAUUUUUACUAAAUCCGAAUCGAUUUAAUUUUAUAUAUAUAAUAUUUGAAUUUGAUUUUGAUAAUUUUUUAAAUUUUUUUAAUACAAAAAUUCGACCUAAUUCGAUGUAUAAAAAUUAUAUUUAAUUUGAUUUGAUUUAAAAUUAAUAAAAUAUUAUUUUUAAUAUAAAUAUAAAAUUAAAUAAACAUAAAAAAAUAUAAAAUUAAAAAAUAAAAUUUUAAUAUAUAUUAAAUCUAAUAAAAUUUACUUAAAACUCGAUUGAAUAUCCAAUUUUUUUUUAAAAAAUCAAUCAUAAAAGAUCAGAAGCCGGGCCGAGGUUACACUGUCAUCCUUAGUUGUGCAAUUGUGCUGUACGAAAUAUGAUUUCCAACGCAAUCACAAGCUGACUGGGUCUGAUAUGACCUUCAAGCUGGAGGUCGUACGCCUUCAUAAGGAUAAAACGUCCACGAAUGGGUUUGUGGUUUUCGAAAGGUUAACCUCAUAAAUAAUUUUUGAAUUAUAGUAAGACAAUGAAUGUAAUAUUUAAAUUUUAAAAUUUAUUAAUUAAAUAUAAUAUUAACUUUUAAUAUUAUUAACUCAAAAUAAUGAUAUAUGAUAAAUAAAUAAUUUUUUAAAUAUUAAUAUAUAAUAUAAUAUUAUAAUAUAUAUAAAAAUUUGAUAAAAUUUAUUUACGUAGAUUUUUAAAUGAAUAACUUAUAUUAUUGACAUAUAAAAUAAUUUUAAAUAAUUUUAUUCAAUUAAUUAUUUAAUAUUUUAAAAUUUAAAAUUUUAUAAUUUACAUUUUUCUAAAUCUUUUAAAGUAUGUAAAUUUUAUCCUAAUUUAAACUUGAAAAAACAUAUAUAAUAUCUCACUUUUACCUAUAUAUAUGAAAUACAAUUUUCAAAUAAUUUUUUAAAGUUAAAUUUCUAAAUCUUAAGAAUUAUAAAAAAUUAUAUACAGUCUAAAUUAAUAUUCACAUAAAUUUAAAUAAAUAAAAUUUAUGGUUGGAUCAAUGAUGUUUGCCAAUUUUUUUGCGUUUAUUUUUUUAUGAUUUUUUUAAACAUUAUUUUCCUAUAAUUUAAAAUAAAAAAAUACUUUAUUUUAAUUUAAAAUUACACAUAUAUCUAAAUUUAAAAUUAUACUAACUUUUUUUAUUUUAGUUUAAAAUUAAACUUAGAUAAACUUUAUUAUUAAAAUUUAAAAUAUUUUAUAAUUAAAUAAUUAUCAAAUAUAUAUUUAUGAUUUUUUUUCACAAUCAAUAUUUUCUUCUUUAUAAAAGAGAGAAAAAUUAAAUUUUCACCAUAAAAGUUUGAUAUGAUAAAGUUUCAAAAUCAAAUGUGAAAAAAAUUUUCAUGAUAUAUCACACGUAUAAAUCUUAGUUUUCAUACUAAAAUAAUAUAUAUUUUCAGGAGUGUAUGUAAUUAUAAAUAAGAUAUCAACUUUUUUUUAUUUGUAUGUAUUUUUAUUUUUUUUAAUUCAAAGUUUUCAUAAUACUUAUUUAAAUUCUUUCAUAAUAAUUUAUAUACAGAUGAUUUUUGUAAUUAUAAAUUAUAAAUAAUAAAAAAUAUUUUUAUUUAUAAAAAAUAUAAUAAAAAAUUCCGUGCCAUGCACAGUUAAAAAAAACCUAUUUAAUUAAUAAAUUUAUAAUUUAAAUAUUAUAUAAAAUUUUAAAAUAAAAAUAUUAUGUUAAAUAUUUUAUUAUAAUUCGAAAAAUUAAUUUCCCAUAAACAUCAAAUUUCCAUUUUCUCCAAAGGCGCAGCCAUUUAUUGUUAACUAAAGGUAUCCAUUUGUGGGUCUCCCCAUCACAAAUGGCUGCGGCUGCAAUGACGUAAUGAGGGUUGAGUAAGAAUUUGGAAUUUUAUCCAAAAUAAAAGUUUGAUUGGGUCCCAGAAUUCAUAAAAUUCAAGUAAUAUAAAUCCAGCAUCGCUUCUAUUCUAAUUGUCUGUAUUGUGCUGCAAGUAAAAGAGUUUUUAACGUCUUCAUUUACAAUUUCCUAAAUUUAUUUAUGAUAAGAUUUAAAAAUAAAAUCUAAAAUUAAUUUAAAUUUCGUUGCUUAUUAAGUAAGAUGUCGUAAUAAUAUUUUCAAUGCUUUUAAACAAACAAAAAAACCAAUUUAUUUCAUAAUUUCAUAUCUUUGAAUUAUCUUCUAUGAACGCUUUAAUCUCAAUCCUAGUAAAAGUUGGUCGACAUUUAUAUUUAUGAAUUAACACACCUGCUAAACUUAGAAUAAACUCAAACACAUUAAUUUGCUUUAGAUCAGGUUCAAGAUUUUAUGGGCCAUCAUUUUCAUGCAGUUAGAAUCAAUUCAUGGAUGUAAAAAAUUGAUAAAUGGAUGAUACAACUGUUUAUGGACCAUCAUGCAUGAUUAGCGACGACAAUCAAAUCCGUUUUUGAUAGGUUUUUAUUCGAUUUAUGAGGUCAAUUUUUUAUUUGAAAUUCGAGUUUUGGGUUGAGUUGGGUUUGAAUUUUAGAUAAAUCCGAUCGAUAUUAUAUAAAAAAUUAUUUUUUAAUUAAUUAAUUAUUUAUAUAUAUAUUUAUAUAAUGAUAUUUUUAAAUAUUUAUAUUUAAAAAAUAAUAUUUUAUAUUAAAAAAUAAAUAUUUUAUUAAUUUCGGAUAAGAUCGAAUACAAUUUAUAUAAUAUUAGAUCGGGUUCGGGUAUAAAAAAAUAAAAAAAAAUUCGGAUAAAAUUAAAUUCAGGACAAACAAAAUCCGCUUCGAAUCCGAUUCGAUGUCAACUCUAUGCAUGACUUUCAUAUCCUAAAUUAUGUAAAUGCUACUAAUAGUUUUAAAAAAUAUACAGGUUAAAAAUGUAUAAAAUCAUGUAAGAGUAUAUAUCUCUAUUUUUUGGUUAAUGGUUGGGUUAUAUAAUACUAAAACAGUUUAAUUAUGCCACGUAAAAUUGAAUUUGAGAUGUUAAAGUUUCUUACUAAUUAAAUAACAACACGUAAUUUACAACAAAGUUAUUGAUUGCUUUACCUUUUAAUAACUUAUCAAUUUACAUUUUGUUGCCAAUGAUAUCAAAAAAAAAAAUUUCCAAUUAAUUAUUAUUGUUUUAAAUUAUAGUGUAAAUAUUGCACUAUUUUGAAAUUUAUGUAACUCUAAAUUUUAAUUUUAUUGUUACAGAAUUGGUUAAUUCAACUAUUACAAAUUUUACGUAAAUUUAAAUUUUGAUUAAUUAAUUGUAAUAUAAUUAUUAUAUAUGGUAUGUUCUUGGAAGAAUGCAUUCUUAAAAUAAUUAAAAAAAAAUUAGAACACGGUAAAACUUAAAAUUAUUCUUACUGUAUUAUUAAAAAAAAUUAUAAAUUAUAAAAAUAGAAAUGGAUUAACCCCACUCAAAGGGACCAAAUAGAUGACUUUGAGAAGUCAACUCCCGUUAAUUUCAAUCAUCCAAAAAUAGAGGGAGGACACCAAAGAAAGCCAAAUAAAAACGAAGAUUUUCUCCAUUAAAAAAAAAAAAAAAAGAUUAUUACUAUUUAGAAAAAGUAUAAAAGAUAGUGGAGAUCCGAAUCUUCCCGUUCGAACAUUCCAAAAUAAAAUGCGAAUCUGACGGCUAUAAGUUGAUUAAAACCCCACACAUCAAACAUCAAAUCCUCAAAAAUUCGACCAGAAGCAUAAUUCUAACUUCCGUUCCUCAACCUUAUUAACCUUCCACGUUUUGCCAACUGCAUAAACCUUAAACAACAUCAAUUAUUUUCUACCCUCUGCCUGUGUCUUUCUGUCUCCGCCAUCAAAUUUUCUCUCCAAAACCUCCAUUUCCCCCUAUCUCUCUGCCUGAAAACUACCAUUUUUUGGAGGCGGGAAAAGGGUAGUUCGCAGUUAAAACCAUUUAACUUACAAAGGGCUGUUUUUGUUUCUUGGUAUCUUGCUUUCUUUUUUCUUGUUGGAUCGAUUUUUUUUUGCCUUCUGCAGCCAUGGUGAUGAAG